GGCUAGGCGCACGACUCCGCUGACUCCAGGCCGAGGCCGGGCUGGAGGGCGGUGUCCAGGUCCCGGCGUCUGGGCUGUGGCUCCUCCUCAGGUAAAGGGCAGGCGGGAGUGCCUUCGGCGACGCUGAGGAAGCGCCCCUUCGGGUGUCUGAGCUGGAGAGCCUGGAGGUUGUCCCUUCUGCUGGGCAGAGCGCCAAGUCGAGUUGGGGCGCCACCCCAAGGUCAGCGACGAGCGCCGGGAGGUCCUGUUCUUCUCGGGCCGGGGCUCAGGUGCACCCUACGGCCCCGCGGGACGGGCUUGGCCGCGUCGCUACCGGAAGAGACCUGGGAGCUUGCGACUCAAUUCCUCCUUGGUCUGCUUCUUGAGAGGCGCGCGAGUUCCCUCCCGGAACUCGCCGGCCCCGGUGCCUGCCCCUCCCGGGGAGCCCCUCUCACCGGCCCGGGUGCCUGCCCCUGCGGGGGAACUUAACUCGUUGGUCUCUGCCUGCCCUUGUGGGGAGCACGGUGGCCUUCGGCUCUUGUCCCUACUUUCUGGGGUGGUCCAUGUUUCUGUGGCCUACUGAGGGGUCUUUCAGAGGAGGUGUCCUUUCCUUUUAUGCCUCUGAAGCUAAGCCUAAACCCUAAUGUUCCCAGUGCAUUGGGGCCAUAGUCUUUUAGUGUUCGAUGAUUUAGAGGCCAUCUAGAGCAGGGAAGUGAUUUGUCCAGAGUCAGGAGUGUCUACUAGUCUUACAGUGUAGGUCACAAAGCUGAAAGGGCUGUGGGAAGUCCAGCAACGAAGCCAAGGCUAGAGCUAGGUGAUGCUUAGCUAGAACUGGCCCAUGGGAUUUUGGGUUCCUAUUUUCCUGCAGUGUCAGGACAGCCGCAGUGCAGGGCUCAUUUCUGCACAUCUUACAGAGGUCCCCAUUGCCAGCUCAGGCUAGAGAUUGGACAGAGCCAUAAACGCUAGUGCAAUGAGGUCAGCAUCAGGGGGUGAAGGAAGGAGGGCCUGGCAAGGAGAGCAGCCCAGCCUGGGGAUGUGAACUGGAGCAGCUGUUGGGGUGAUGGGCAGCUUAGAGGAGCUAGUCCAGGAGGCAGAGACCACUUUGGAAGGAGAUGGUGGGGUGGUAGAAGUGGAGGAGGUGUGUGUGUGGGAGAGAUGGAGGACCAGGGGCUGGUGGUAUUGAUUUCUGAACCAGAUAACUGAGUGGUGACAACGCAGGAAAGAAGCAGAUGGGGUAGCAGUUGUGGGAGGUCAGGGGUGAAGAUGGUGGGUUGAGCCUUAGAGCUGUUGGGCUUGAGUGGCCAUGGCCAUCUGGAGGAGACUCUUAGUAGGCAUAUGGUCCUUGGUGAGGUGAAGUUGGGUUCCCCUCUGGGAAUCAUUGGUUGUGGGUAUUUCAUGGGCAUGUAUGCUAAUGAUGUGAUUGACUGUAUAGUCUCUGCACCCUGGAGGCUUGAGGAUGCUGCUGUCUGCAGAUCUUCUUUCCCACACCUCAGGUAAACAGGUGAACUUUGUCUCUGAUGGGAAUGAGGAAUGUCCUAGGGUUGAGCUGUCUUUGUUUUCUUGAAAUAGAUGUUCAGGCUGCUGUGGCUUUUCAGAUCUGAAUCUUGCUAUACUUCUCUGUCCCCCAAGGUUGAUUGCUGCUAUCCUGUGGAACACUAGGGGGCAGAGGUGGAACUUUGGAGCAUGUGCCUGCUCACGUUCACAGCCAUUGGUGUGUACUUGGAGAGGUAGAUGUCUGUGCUUGCCCUUCUUUCCUAGGGUCCACAGAAGCCCAGGUGAGAAGCAGAGUUGCUGCUUUCUGUGAUCAGCAGCCCCAGGCCUUGGCCCCUCUUUCUGUGAACUAAGUUGUUUGAGUGUAAGCAUGUUCUCUGCCAGUGCAGCUCACAGAGUCUGAUUCCCUUGGGGAGGAGCACCAGAUGAGGCUCCCAUGGCUCUUGUGAGCUCCUGGGAAGUGCUCAGAGAAUGAUGGUUGAUAAAUCAUGAGAAUCAUGCUUUCUUCACUGAACUAGAGGGCCACCUUGCUUGGGGAGUUGGUAUGUGAACCCAGUGACAUAGCUCCACUUGGAUUAUGUUGAGAAAUUGUGUUCUUGGGGCUUGACAAGCAGUUACCCAGCCCAAGUUUGUGCUGGUGACUCUAGAAGUUGACUCUUCUCUGGCCCCUGUGCUAGGGAAAAAGGGCCCUUGGACUCCAUGUCUGGCUAGGGCAGUCCAUGACCACCCCAUAUAUGUCUGACCCUCCAGGCCAGCUCAUCAUAGCCUCUGGGCUGUGGUGUGCUUGCCUCCUCUGGGCUCAGUGCAGGUGAUGUAAUACUUCUGUUGUGUCCACACAUGCAGCGGCUGUAAUACUUAUGAGUGUUUUUUUUUUUUUGUUUUUCAGUACUGGGGAAUGAACCCAGGAGAACUCUACCACUGAGCUUUUCAUUUUUUAUUUUGAGAGUCCUGCUAAGUUGCUGAGGCUGGCUUUGAACUUGUUAUCCUGCUUCAGCCUCCCAAGUUGCUGGGAUUAUAGGCCUGUGCUGCUGUCCUGGGUUCCUGUGAGUCCUUUUUGUGGCAAAGAGAGCCCUCAUACAAGGACUUUGUGGGCCUCAGACAGGGCCAAGUGGGCAUUUACUAAAUGUGGAACCGAGAGGACACAGCUUCAUCAUUCAUGUAAGAGUGCCAUUCUGUAGGAGGACAGGCCCCAUCAACUCGACCUCCUACCUCUUCUUCCAUAGUUUUGUUUUAUUUUUUUUAAAUAAAACCACCAUGGUGGGCAUCUGGUGGUCUUUCUUUCUUUCUUUCUUUCUUUCUUGUGGCGCUAGGGAGUGAACCAGGGCUUUGUGCAUGCGAGGCAAGCACUCUACCAACUGAACUAUGUCCCCAGCCCUAUUUUUCUUAACAUGUCUGUACAUUUCUUGAUAUCUGUGCACUAGUGUGAGGGUCUCUGUUGAGAGAUGUGAAAAAGUUCUGGGCCAUCUGGCUUGAGUGGCCUUUCCUCUGGCUCUGCCAGGGGUACUAGCACCCAGCAUCCCUGUCCUUAUGACUUGGGAUGCUCUUGGAACCUACCACGUGCCUGGCUUCUCUCCAAGUCAGAGUGUGACUAGAGGUGCUGAUCAUCAGCACUUGUAGAGGGUGGAGGGGCCCAGGCAGAGUCUAUGUGGGCUGAUGGCUGUGCCACAGUCCCACAAGGUGUCUGCUUGCAGCACUGAGUCCUUGACUGACCAUUGUACCACACUGUCCCUCUGCUCUGGAAAGGGAGGAUAGAGCUGUUGGUCUGAAGGAGUGAUCAGCACAGCCUCCAUUUAUCUGUGGGCUAUUUCUCCUAAGAAAUCCUGUAUGUUCUUUGCCCUUUUUCUUGUUUGUCUUAGUAAUGCACAAACUCCUUUGCAUAUUAUAUUAGGAAAAUAGUCUUGUCAUAUAUAUUGUGAAUGAUCUGUCCUGCAUUGUCUAUAAUUUGGCCAGUAUCACUCCCAGCACUUCCUCCCUCCCUCUCCACCUUCUAUCCACUGGUCUUUGUUGGUUGGUUUGGUACCAGGGAUUGAACCUGGGGAACUUAACCACUGAGCCACUUCCCCAGCCCUCUCUAUUUUUUAUUCUGAGACAGGGUCUUACUAAAUUGCUUAGGGCCUUCCUAAAUUGCUGAGGCUGGCUUUGAACUUGUAAUCCUCCUGCCUCAGCCUCCUGAGCCACUGGGAUAACAGGUGUGCACCAAUGUGUGGGCUUCAUUCAUUCAUCCUUUUUUUUUUAAUUUUAAAAAUAUCUUUAUUUAUUUAUUUUAUGUGGUGCUGAGGAUCGAAUCCAGUGCCUCACAUGUGGGAGGCAGGCGCUCUGCCACUGAGCCAGCCCCAGCCCCUUGCAUUCUUUAUUAAUAUAGACUUGUGCUGUAAACUCCCACAGAAUUCAACAUAACUUUUUAUUUUAACGUGGUUUAUAACUUUUUGCAUUGAACCAGGGUGUCUUGCCACUGGCCCACAUUCCUAGCCCUUUGGUUUUCAUUUUGGGACGGCGUCUCACUGGGUUGCCCGGGCCGGGCUAGGACUGCCACCUCCUGCUUGAGCCUCACAGAUUACUGGGAUCCCAGGUGAGGGCCACCCUCCCACCUUGUGAUUCCAUUUUGUGUCCCUUUUGUGGUACCUGCAUGACUUCAAAGCAUAGUGAAGAGUUUCUAAAUACUUGAGAAUUUCUUAGUUAUCUUUCUCUUAUUGAUUUAUUUUAUUCAUUGUGGUCAGAGAAUGUACUUUGUAUGUCUUGAAUUUUUGACAUUUAUUUAUUUAUUUAUUUAUUUAUUUUUUAAAAUAUAUUUAUUUUUUAGUUUUUUGGCGGACACUACAUCUUUGUUCACAACAUCUUUGUUUGUAUGUGGUGCUUAGGAUAGAACCCGGGCCGCAGGCAUGCCAGGCGAGCGCGCUACCACUUGAGCCACAUCCCCAGCCCCGUUGACAUUUAUUUAUUUUUUAAAAAAUAUUAUUUUAUUGCAUUUGCUAAAGUGUUUGUGUCAGUUUAUUUUAUUUUAUUUUCUAGUUUUUGGCAGACACAACAUGUUUAUUUGUUUUUUUUUUUUUUUUUUUUUUUUUUUUUUUAAUUUUUUAUUGUUGGUUGUUCAAAACAUUACAAAUUUCUUGAUAUAUCAUAUUUCACACUUUGAUUCAAGUGGGUUAUGAACUCCCAUUUUUACCCCAUAUACAGAUUGCAGAAUCACAUCAGUUACACAUCCAUUGAUUUACAUAUUGCCAUACUAGUGUCUGUUGUGUUCUGCUGCCUUUCCUAUCCUCUACUAUCCCCCCUCCCCUCCCCUCCCCUCCCCUCUUCUCUCUCUACCCCCUCUACUGUCAUUCAUUUCUCCCCCUUGUAUUAUUUUUCCCUUUCCCCUCACUUCCUCUUGUAUGUACUUUUGUAUAACCCUGAGGGUCUCCUUCCACAACAUGUUUAUUUGUAUGUGGUGCUGAGGAUCGAACCCGGGCCGCACGCAUGCCAGGCGAGCGCGCUACCGCUUGAGCCACAUCCCCAGCCUGAAUUUUUGACAUUUAUAAGAUUUGUUUUAUUGCCCAGAAUAUGGUUAGUCUUGGCAAAUGUUCCUGUGUUUUUGGGAAAAAAACCCACAUGUAUCCUAAUGUUAUCGAAGGGAGCGUUCAGUGAAUGCUGAUCAGGUCAAAUUGGUCAACAGUGUGGCCAUUCACACCUCUGUCUUGCUGGUUUUCCCCUUGUCCUCUCUGUCCCGGAGAGAGGAGUGUUGAAAGCCGUUACUCAGGUCUGUCUGUGCUCCCUCCAUUCGUACCAGGCUUGCUCUGUACCUUUUGGGGCUCUGUUAUGUGUCCACAGAGUGUCCAGAGUUGUCGUGUUGAUGAGACUGGCAGUCUGGCUGGCUUGAUUUUCUUUUCCCACCCUUUUACCCUGAACCUCUUGUGAACACAGCACCUUUCCUGCAGUGUUUGAAUAUGUGACGUAAGUCACAGUGACUGUUGGCAUGACCUCGUCUGCUGAGUCUCUCCUUUGUGCUUGUCCGGGUCAGUUGGCAUCGAGCCAUUCAUCUUCGUCAUGGGUCUCCUCUUCUUUUUUUCCGUGCUCCCUCCCUCCCCCUCCCCCCUUCUUCUUCCUGCUACCUCAGCCUCCUGGUAACUUUGGAUACCAGCCAUUGCAUCUCUCCUUGCUGCACCCUGUCAUCCCGCUUGAACUUUGUGCUAGGAUUUGGUAAGUUUCUUGGAUGCACUUGAGUCCAUUCAGGGCUUCUUUCAGCUUUGUGAGGGGACAGAGCAGCAUUUAGUCUAGGAGAAGUUUUAUGUCAUCACUAAGGUAAGACCCUUUCGUAGCACUCUGCCUGGUACCUGUACCUGGUGACAUCUGUGCUUUUCACUCUGGCCUGGGACCAGGCACAUUCCUGGCCCUUUGUAAGCUCCGGAUGCUGUUUUUGCCAAUCCCUUUGGGUAGGUUUUCCCCAGUUUCGGUUACUUUUCCUUCUGUGGCACUUGUAUUAGUUUUCUAACGCUGCUGUAACAAAUUACCACAGACUUAAAGUUAUUACACAGAUUCAUCAUCUUAAAUUGCUUAAAGUCAGAAAUCCCACGUGGGUCUCACUAGGUGAAUAGGUAUAGGUAUAGGUAGGGCUGCGUUCCUUUUUUGUGGCUCUGGGAAGGAUCUGUUUCUGCUUUCAGGUUGUCUUUUUUUUUUUUUUUUGAGAGAGAGAGAAUUAUUUUUUUAAUAUUUAUUUUUCUUUAGUUUUCGGCAGACACAACAUCUUUAUUUGUAUGUGGUGCUGAGGAUUGAACCCAGCGCCGCGCACAUGCCAGGCGAGCGCACUACCGCUUGAGCCACAUCCCCAGCCCUGCUUUCAGGUUGUCUACAAAAUUUGUUUCUUUGCAUUUUAGUACCAAAGUCCUUGCUUUCUUUCCACCUAUGAGCUGAGGGCUUCUGUAGGCCACCCCUAUUUCUUGUAUCAAAGCCACCUUCCUGCAUCUUCAAAGUCACCAGUGGUGGGUUGAGUGUUUCUCAUGCCUUGAAUUUUUUUUUUUUUUUUAACUCUCUUAUUUCUUCUCUUUGACUCAGUGAGAGAGUAUUCUUUUUUUAGUGGGGUGGGUGGGGGUGGGGGUGGGGGUGGAGUAUGAGGAUUGAAUUUAGGGCCUUGUUUAUGCUAGGCAAGUGCUCUAUCACUGAGUUACAUCCUGAGGCCUUUUGAUUUCUUUAAGAUCCCACUAAGUUGUCUAGACUGAUCUCAAAUUGGCACAUGUCUUACUUCACCCUCCUGAGUAACUGGGAUUACAGGUAGGUGCCACCAUGCCUGGCUAAAUUUUCUGCUUUGAAGGAUCUGCUCUCACCCUGAUAAUCCACAAUAAUCUAGUCUCUAGGUAUAUACCUUUAAUUUCAUUGCUAAAUCCCUUUUCCAUAUAAGUGAAAGUGUUCAUGUAUUCUGUGUAUUCGGGAAUGGGCAUCUUUGGGGACAUUAUUCUGCCAACCCAGCACUGAUCACAAUUCACUGAGUGCCUGGAAGACCCUCUGCAGGUCUCCAGCGUUCUCUCUGGAUGUGUUAAUCUGCUUUCCAUCACUGUAAGAUUAUACCUGAGAUAAUGAAUUUAUAAAAGCAAAAAGGUUAUUUUAAUUUAUGGUUUAGAGGUUCCAUUGUAUGAUCAGACAGACCUGUUGCUUUUAGCCUUCUGGUGAGGGUACUGGGUAGACAUGAUGGGGAGCAAGUGGCAUAGGAAAACUGCUUACCUUGUGGCCAGGAAAGGGAUGGGGCAAGGGUCCCAUAAUCCCCUUUUGGGGCACACCCCCAGUAAGCUAUGGACCUCCCAUUGGGUCCCACCUCCUAAAAGUUCCACCCUCCCAAUAACUCUACCCUGGGAACCAAGCCUUGAGCACUUGUGUCUUUGGGGACACCUGUCACCAUAGCCCUGGGCGGCUCUCUGCUGCUGGAGCCUGUACACCAGCUGUCUUGGAGCCGGCCACCCUCCUGGCUAUGUUUCUCAGCCCCUUUGGCCUGCUUCAAGGCCUGGGGCUCUUCCUCCUCGCAGUGCCCUGGGGUAGUUGAGAGGCCCCCAUUUCCCACCCCUAGGGUUCACUGGCCUUCGCUUUCUGAUGUCUAUCAUUCUAAGAAAUACAUUUUCAUGUAUUGUGUCCAGUUUCUUUUUUUUUUUUUUUUUUGUAUCAGGGGUUGGACCCAGGGGUUCUCGACCACUGAUCAGCCCUAUUUUGCAUUUUAUUUAGAGGCAGGCUCUCACUGAGUUCCUUAGCGCCUCACUUUUGCUGAGGCUGGCUCUGAACUCAUGAGCCUCAACCUUCUGAACUGCGGGGAUUACAGGCGUGCACCACCACGCCUGGCCCCAGCCCUUUUUAUGUUUUAUUUAUUUAUUUUAAAAAAAUUCAGACGUUGAUGGACCUUUAUUUUAUUCAUUUGCUUAUAUUUGGUGCUGAGCAUUGCACCCAGUGCUUCACACAUGCUCAGCAAGUGCUCCACCACUGAGCCACAGCCCCAACGCCCCUUUUUAUGUUUUAUUUUGAAACAGGGUUUCACCAAGUUCCUCAGGGCCUCACUAAAUUGCUGAGGCUGGCUUUGAACUCACAGUCCUCCUUCCUUGGCCUCCCAGGUUGGUGGGAUCACAGGCGUGUGCUGCAUGCCUAGCCUGUCUAGUUCUUGAGGUGCUCUGGCGGGAGCGCUGGGUGGCUCCUGUCACGCUCACCUGUCUGGGGCAGAUGGCCCCUGGUGCCCAGCCAUCUUAGUUUGCUCCUGUUUGAGUUGGGUCAGGGCCACCCUUAGGUCAUGUGAUUGGGUCACCUUCUGUUAAAUGGUGGAGAUCAGCAGUGGUGGCUUUACACAGGCAAAGCCUCUGUCCCUGGCUCCUCUGCCGCGUGGACUCGGUCCAGGUCUGGGAACUUGGGGUCUGAGGUUUCACGCCAGCCGUCCCUUCCCCUGAGAAGAGUGCUGUGUGGGCUCUUCUGAGUCGGCCCUGUGCCCUGCCCCCUCUCCUUGCUGGGCUGCAGAUGGAAUAGCGUGUCUAUUUCCCGUUUUCCUUGUUCCUUUUAGACGCUUUCCAGGAAGGAAGGGGCAGUGCUGCGCUGAUGCCCUCAGUGUCACAGCAGCCUGCUCUGCCUCUCUGUCUUGUUGGGUCCCUGGGAGUUUCUGUCUGUUAGCUGUCUUUUCUUGCUCUUAAGGGUUUACCCUUUUAAAACAUGCAUCUUUUCUGUCAUUUUCUUGGAGUUUUGGUGUGGUUGGUAAAUGCUUGGGGUCAGCCUGCCUUCCUGAACUAGAAUUCUCAUUUAUUUUAUUUUUUAAAAAUAUUUAUUAUUUAUUUAUUUAUUUUUUCUUUUUAGGUGGACACAAUAUCUUUUAUUUGUAUGUGGUGCUGAGGAUCGAACCCAGUGCCUCACGCAUGCCAGGCGAGCGCGCUACCAUUUGAGCCACAUCCCCAACCUCUCAUUUGUUUUUAAUUUCUGCAACUCCCAAGGUUGACACCGUUUCUAACCUUGCCUCCUCUCCAUGUGGGCACAGUCUUUUGAGAUGCCAGGGCGGCGGGGUCAGGUGUCUCUCCUUACUGGAUGGGAGAUGAAGGGGACCGUGGGGCUCGUGGAUCCUCGGUGAACGGAGGCCAAGUGGUUAGGGUGAAGCUGGCUGCCAGGCGAGGGUGAGCUGUGGCCUCUCUGACCUCUGGAGGACAGGGCACAGGACGUGAGCAUGAGUAGUCUGUGUGCUGGAGGGGCCAUCUCUGCAAGCGCUUUGAGGACUGUGGUGUGUGAGGCACAGUGUCCACUGUCUCCUCAGUGAAGGGACAGGUGCUUUGGGUGGGGGAGCAGCUUUGUCUGCCAGUACUCAGGAUGGUGAGGCCAUUCUGUGGGCAGCACUUCCCCCAGCUGCCAGCUAUGUGUGGGGGGGGUUCUGUUCGACUCUCUGAAUAAUUUUACCAGCUGCAGUAGAGAUAGUUCCCAGGGGAAAUUCAUUUAAAUGUGUUUUGCACAUAAACUUGGUAUUAUGGAGGCUUAUGAAUUAAAUCUGUGUUUUUGUCUUCUAGGCUGGAGAAGCUCUCCAUGUGCACUUUAGGCAGUGGAAGCUGAGAACUCAGAAAUGGCAGAGUCCUACAUGGAGAGUGAGUGCUCAGGACAUGGGGUAGAUGGCCAGGUGCCUCCUGCCCUCUGCUGUUGGGACAGGACAAAGCCAACAUGGACUGUCCACUCGAUACCUGGGAGCCUGGUGGGGUCUGGGCAGGAUGUGGAGCUCACCUGUUGGGGUUUAGGAUCCAGAUGAGCCAUGGCAUUCAGAACGUGGUUUGCAGGAAUGACUGUUGAAAGGACAGAUUUUCCCCAAGUUUUCAUUAAAGAGAAGUAAGAAUGCAGUAAUUGUCCUAUCCUGCUUGGGCUGUUCUGAGAAAAUGCCCUAGACUGGGGGACUCAUAGACAAUACAUUUUUUUUUUUUCUAAUAGCUCUAGAGAUUGGCAGGACCCAAAUCAAGACCUGAAGGUUUGUGUCUGAUGAGGGCUGCUCUCUGCUUCCUCAGUAGCACCUCUUGCCAUGUCCUCACAUGACCGAGGGAUAGAGGGACUAGGGAUCCCACUGACCCUUGGUAAGGCACAAAUGCCACCUGCUGUCAGGAUGGUCACCACCCAGAGGCCGCAUCUCUUAAAACACCACAUUGGAGGUCAAGUUCCAGCGUGAGUUUGGAGAGGCCAGUAUUCAGGCUACGGCAACACUGUAGGUGGACCUGAAAUGGUGGUUUCUCUGCAGUGUGGCACACUUGGAGUGGGUGUCCCUGAUCACUGUACCCUCAUCCUCUUUUAAGAAUAUAUUUAUUUAUUUAUUUUUUGGUACCAGGGAUUGGACUCAGGGACACUCCACCAGAGAUCUCUAUCCCCAGCCCUAUUUUGUAUUUUAUUUAGAGACAGGGUGUUGGUAAGUUGCUGAGUGCCUUGCUAAUCUUCUGAGGCUGGCUUUGAACUCCUGAUCCUCCUUCCUCAACCUCCCAAGUUGUUGGGAUUACAGGUGUGUGCCGCCGGCCUGGCCCUCACUCCAUUUUUUUUUUCUAUAUUUAUUUUUUAGUUAUAGGUGGACCCAAUAUCUUUAUAUUUAUGUGGUGCUGAGGAUCCAACCCAGCGCCCCGUGCAUGCUAGGCGAGCGCUCCACCUCUAACCACAAUCCCAGCCCAUCCUCACUCCCUUUUAAACAAGACCUGCCGUGACCCUGGUCUGCCUUGGCUGGCCACAGCUUUCCCAGCUGACAAGGCACAUCACCAGUGGCCUACUGCAGGUGUCGGGUGAGAUUCUGGCCACAUGGCUCUGCCUCCUGGAGCUCUGCUGACGGUUGAGCCGUCCCUUGGGCGCUAUAAGUGCCACUCUGGGUGCUGCAUCCUCAGCUUGAGGGAUGCUGAGAGGCCUGCAGUGUGAGGGCAUUGACAAAUGGAGGUGGAUGGGAAUGGGUUUGGGUACCUGUGAGAUCCGAGGCCCAGCCAGGUCAGGACAGGGACACAGAGCUGUUGGGAUGAGGGAGAGGAAGGGCAUGUACUUGUCCACAGAGGAUGGUCUCCAUGUGUAGUCCAGAGCCUAGAAACAGGUGAGGGUGUUCGUCAGAGGGUCCAGGUUUGGUUUCCUGAGGUGAACUUGGCCUUAGAUACAGUGAGAUCUUAUCAAUCCCCCACCUUUCCUUUUUAUUAUUUUAGACAGAGUCUUGCUAAGUGACCCAGGCUGGACUUGAACUUGUAAUCUUUGUGCCGCGCUUCCUAGGUUUCUGGAUUAUAGACAUGAACCCCGGCACCCAGCCAACUCUUGAGUCUUGGGUGGGGAGGGCUGUUAAAAGCCCAGCUUCCUGCUCUGGAAUUCCUCCCCAGAGGGGAGCCUGAGCCUCAUUCCGAUGCCUGUCUAUUCUGUUGCCAUGGCAAGUGCCUCCUGGGCUGUCCUCAUUAGCAGCGUGGGCAUUGGGCAUGGUGCUGGUAGAGCAGAGAGCCUGGGGCAUUCCCAGCCCCGCCUGGAUCAUCUUCUCGGGAUGGUCAGCGGGCUCAGAUGCCCCACCUGCCCUGGGCCCAGUGGAAGGGCUGCGGUUGCUGGAUCUGGUCUGCACAGUGCCUCGUUGGUCUGUUGAUUGCUCAUUCACAUCUGGUGCUGCUAGGCAGAGUGUUGUGGGACAGGGCUGUGGCUUCAUUGGUUCAGUUAUUGUUCACUGCAGGUCCCUGCCCCUCCGCUCAGCUCCCACCUGUGCAGGCACUGCCUGUUGGAGCCCUGUCUUGUGGGUCCUGAGGCCUCAGGCUGGUGGUGCCAGAAUGUGCCAUCUCCUGCUGCUGAGUCUGGGGGCGUCAGCUGCAGGAAUGUGGUUGACAGGGAUGCCUCAGACUCAAGCCACUGACUGGGCUUUGUCACUGCAGAGCUGUCCUUCACCUUGCUGGAUGCCAUCACCGACAAGGAGCCUGUGGUGCAGGAACAGGUCUGCAGUGCUCUGUGCUCCCUCGGGGAGGCACGUCCCAGGGAGAUGCUCCGCGCCUGUAACGAGUACCUGCGACAGCAUGACAAGGUACCUCUCCCCUUGGGCAUGGUGGCUCCAGGAACACUCUCAUCUGUGCUAUAGUUUGGGAGGAGAUGGCAGCAAGAGCUGCAGGGUAGGUUCCCAGCUUGGCAGUCAGCGGAAAGCAGCUUCUGGGCUCCCUCAAGGCCAGGCAUUUCAAGAGAAUGGCCACUUUUGGGGUGAGGCCCUUGGUCAGGCUGGGCUGGGCGGCAGCCGUCCUGCUCGUGUGCGCGCCAUUUGCGGUACCUGAGUGGCUCUCUGCCCAGGGAGAGGAAGGCUGUUUCCAAAGUGUGUAAUUCAAGUGUCUGAGUGCUUUGUUGAGGGCUUGCGAGGGUCCCCAAGGCUCUGCCUUAUCCUGGAGGCCACCAGUACAUCCACUCCCCGAGGAGCUUCUCCCAGGAAGGAGCAGGUCCUUCUCUUGUACCCUGGAGAGUCCCAUCCUCCUGCAGGUGUGGCUGACUCACCACAGCCUGGGACACUCAGGACUCUCCCUUAGCCCUGUGUGGAUGUGAGGCUACUGUCCCAAGAUCUGAGGUCAUCAGAGCUCUCUGCGGGUGCAGGCACCCUGGCACAGUGGUGCCCUGUGGGACCGCAUAGCUCUGCCAUUGGAAAUCGUCACACGCACCUUCUGGUUUUCCUCGGUUUCACGGUUUCAAAAGACCACUGUUAUUUUUAUUAUUUAUGUAUUUAUUUAUUUUUGUUCUAAAUGGACACAAUAUUUUUAUUUGUUUUUAAUGUGGAUUUUAUUUACUGAGGAUCGAACCCAGGGCCUCAUGCCUCCAGGGCAAGCUCUCUAUCACUGAGCUAUAGCCCCAGUCCCCACUAUUAUUUUUUUAUUUUUAUUUUUUUAGUUGUAGAUGGACAUAAUAUAUUUAUUUAUUUAUUUAAUGUGGUGCUGAUACGUGAACCCAGUGCCUCACACAUGCUAGGCCAGCGCCCUGCCCCUGAGCUACAGCCCCAGCCCCGCUAUUGUUUUUUAACUGACGUUUUGCUGUGUAGAAAGGGAUGUCUGUGUGACGUGUUUUCCUCUUAUCUGCUGACUGCCACUCUUGGGGAAAUUGCCUGUUCCAGGAGAGCACUGCCAAGGGUGCUGGGGUUCGGGACACCUCGUGGAGGGCCGCUCCCUUUCUGUUUGCCCCUCCUGCUUGCUCAGGAGCUGGGUGAGCCGGGGGACUGGCGGGCCACCCUUGUGCCAGGUCAGCGCUGCACAUGCCUUCACCUGCAGUGCUUCCUGGGGCUUUCCCUGAGCCUGGAGCUUCUUUCUCGGAGGGCCAGGUACAGCACUGAAGUGCCAGGCACUGCUCGGUGUGACGUGGCACUCUGACACCAGCAUCCAGUUGUGGGACAGAAGGUGUGUUGACCAGCGGAGGACCUGGCCAGGGCCUGGGGAAGGAGCCCCUUCGUGUGGCUUGCUGCAGAGCCCCUGUGACCUGGGUGCCUCUCCCUUUCACUUGGCCUCUGACUUCACCUCUUUUCUACCUGUAGUUUAGCUGACUGUGAACAGAAUCCCCCUUCCCAUUGCCCGUGCACGGUGAGUGCUGACCUCAUCUUUUGGCAUCUGACCCUUCCCCAGCCCUUUCCUGCUCCUGCAAGGAGCUGGGGUUGUACCUCAGAGGCAGGUACUCCAGAAUUCAAUCCCAGGGGUGCAGUAGCAGGAAACCACCCAGCACUCACCUGCCGCUGCCAGGUGCCGGUCAGUAUUCUUUAUACCUGGGGGGCUUUAUGGCCUCAGCUCCUGGCUGGGCUAGGUGUUUGUGGUUCUGUUUUCACAGACCCGGAGGCCUGUGACUGCCGCUUGCCUCUCAGUGCAGAGGGGCCCUGGGCACAGCUCUGCUGCUCUGUGGGGCAUGGCCAGUCUUGCACACAUCCACCAAGGUCUGGCACAGGACAACAGGUUCCACCUGGGGCCGUCAGGCCCUGGGGAGUGGUGGGAAGAGAUGCACAAAUAGUCAAACAGUUUUCAAAUAGUGGUGGAUCUCUCCUCCCUCUCUUCUACUAGUUUCUGUGUCACAGACUCCUGUCUGCUUUCCAGCCUCUUGACAGUCUCCUCCUCACACAAGCGGACUGUGGGGACUGCUCAUCUCUGUGUGGGGACUUAAGCUCUACACAAGGCUGCGAGGGCCUGGGCCCCCAUGUGCAGGACUGGGCUGGUCCCUUCGCAUCAGCCACUAUUUGGCUAGAAGUGGAAUUGAUUCCAGGGCCAUAUGGGGGUGUUAGAGCCCAACUUCAGAACUGAAGUGACUGUUGGAUUCUGUUUGGACUGGAGUGGAGACUUGGCCUCAUCCUGGGGUAUCCUGAGAGAGACGGAGGUACGGAUAAGCUUGGUUCUCCUCUGCACUUUCACAGCCCAGCACACUUCUGGGACUGGAUGUGUGGGGCAUUUUCCAUGUAGUCUGUCAGUCCCUCUGGAUAUCAACUGCAUGUCCUCUAGUUCAGUUCCAUUUUGACCCUGUCUGCCUGGAGGUAGAGUCAGGUCCCCAAGGUAGCCGCACUUGAGGUGGCAGUGUCAAGCCCCUCUUGACACUGUGUCCUGAUGCUGAACACCAUCUACAGAUCAGGAUUCCCACAGCCUCCUCCUUGGGUUUAGUGACUUUGCUAGAAUGGUUCCUGGAAUCAGGAAGCAUGCGUGUUCACUGGUUUAUCAGAGAUAUGACAAAGGAUGCAGGUGGACCCCAGAGGACAGGGUGGGGUGGGACGGGGCGCAGGACCCCCAUGCCCUCCUGGGGUGUGCCACCUGCUGGCUGCCUGGAAGCUCCUUGAACCUUGUUCUUAGGUUUUAUGGAGGAUAAUUGCUCUGUGAUCAGCUCAUCUUCACUCUUCUCCCCUCCCUGGUGGUUGGGGUGGGGUAGCAAGUCCCUAGCCUCUAAUCCUUCUUUGGUCUUUCCAGUGACCAGCCCCGCCCAUCCUGAAGCUGCCAAGGGCCCCAGCCAAGUCAUGUCCUCAGCAUACAAAGGCAUUUUGGAGCUCGGGGCAGUGGCACUCACAGCUGGAGAGGCUGAGGCAGAGGAUUGUGAGUUCAAAGCCAGCCUCAGCAACUUAGUGAGGCCCUGGGAAAUUCAGCAAGACCCUGUCUCUAAAUAAAAUGUAAAAAAGGGCUGGGGAUGUGGCUCAGUGGGGUUAAGUGCCCCUGGGUUCAAUUCUUGGUACCAAAAACAAACAAACAAAAAACCACCAUUUGGAGAAUCCAAGGAUUUUAGGAGUUGUGCACCUGGAAACUAAAGAUAUAUCUCAGGUUAUCACAUUUUUGUGGGGUCAACAUUGGGCCUUUGUGUAGCUGAGUUCAUGGCCUUAGGGCUGUGCUGACAUGCUUUUAUGCAGGGGGAUUUUUGGGGCCACAUUUGUUUGUUUUCAGUAGUGAAAGGAACAGGAUUUAUUCAGGGCAAGAGGGGACCCCAUAAGGGCUGCCCCUGUGGCCACCCUUUGAACUUUGAGUCACAAUUAAUCAAGCCUGGGGAAAAGACAGGGUCGCCUCCGCGGCCACCCACUGACACCUGAGAGCCAUGGAGCCGCACUCUGACGGGCCUCGCCUUGGGUCUGUUUCACGGUCUUGUUCCUGUCCCAGCUCUGCACCACGGAGGAAGGUGUGGUCAGUGCCCAAGCUCUGUCACCCCACGCUGUAAUCCGGUCUCUCUGGUGGGGCCUGGUGGAAAACAACCAGGAAGGCCAAGCCCUUGACCACCGCCCACCUCAGCUUCUCUGCCUGUGGCAGUCUUCAAGAGAGAAGUGGAAAUGAAACCUUUUCCUUAAAAAUGAGCAGCCAGGAGGGAUCCCGGGUUUUCACUUUUCCAUAUGUAAGUUGUGUCCUUUAUGUCCUGAGGUCUCGGCAGCCUUCGCCUCCUAGUCAGGAGCGGCCCUUAGUUGGGCAUGGCAGAGCAUGCCUAUAACCCUAGCACCUUGGGAGGCUGAGGCAGAAGAAUCACAAGUUCGAGGCCAACUUCUGCAUCUUAGCAAGACCCUGUCUCAAAAAGGACUGGGAUGUAGCCUGGCAGUAGAGCACAGCCGGUGCCAGCCCCAGGACUGAGGGAGUAAAGGCAGGACUUAAGGCACCAACCAAAAGAGCUCGCCAGCCUGGCCCACCCAAGCGCUCCACCACUGGAGGGCCCUAAUGCUGAGUGGGAAGGCCACUCAGCCCCAGCCCCAGGGCAGAGAGAGUCCGUCCUUGAUUAAUUGAUUUUUAUUUAUUUUUUGGGACCUGAGAUGGAACUCGAGAGUGCUUGACAACUUUUUUAUAUAUAUCUUUAUUUUGUUUAUUUAUUUUUAUGUGGUGUUGAGGAUCGAACCCAGGGUCUCUCACAUGCCAGGCGAGCGUGCUACCACUGAGCCACAACCCCAGCCCUGCAUACUCUAUUUUAAAAGCAGCUUCCUGGGACAGUUUUCAGAGUAUUGUCUCCCACUCCCUAGUCACAUACCCCUUCCUGGGUCACGCAUCCCUGCCACUGGCCUGUCAGCAAAGCUGAUGGGUGUGCCAUCAGCUGUGACCUGAGGACUUAGGCCCAGGAAUUCCUUUUCUUCCCUAUGCCUGGGAAAAAGGCAGAUUUCCCCCCCAAAGCUCCUUUGUGUACGUAAGGAGAAUUAGCUGCCAAGGAAGGCCACGUGGGCUCCCGGAGGUGUGUCUAGGCCAAGAGCCAGGAAGUGGCUGAAGCUGUGGCUCUAGAUCAGGUGGGAACAAGUGUCUGCCUGCUUUAUCAGAGUUGUCUCCCAGUAUUUAAUUAAUACUCUUGAUUAAGUGAAGUCCUACCAAUUAACGUUAAUUUUCCAAUUUUCCACCCCAAAUUUCCUUAUUCUCUAAAGAAAGUGCUCCCCGACGUGGGCGUGCCGAAGGCAGCUCUCCCUGGAAGGGGCGCUUCGCCGUCUGUGGUAGCACUGAGUGCCCGGUGGCUGCCAAGGCUGUGAAGGCAGGCAGUGGGAGCCAGCCAGUGGGACUGCCUGGGGGCCUGGGUCCCCACCACUGAGGCCCAGCGCUCAAGGAUGGGAAAUCUCGGGCUGAAAACAGCCCAGGGUCGAAGUUUUUCCUCGAAGACUGGCGGGCCCUGGGUGCUGGUAGUGUCCUUGAGCUGCUAGGAUGUGCACUGUUUAGUUCCAGGAGCAGAAGUCUCGUCCCCUGUGGGCCCGGAGACAGAGGGUCACUGUGUGGCAUAGCAGACACGCCUGUCACCUGGGGCCCAGGGACCCGGGAAUUCCUUUCCCCACCAAGCUGUGCCAUUUGUCCCCAGGAACAGAGUUGGUGUGUCCACCUGCAGGCGUGUCCCCACUCCUGUGCUGCCGUUGUGGCCAGUGGCCACAGCUGCUGCCGUCACCCAGGAAGGGCAGCAGUGCCGCCUGUCCUGCCCUGCCUUGCCCUCCUGGUCCCCAUGCCACCUGGCAUGGGCUGCCCUGGGGGCAGGCACCGCUGGGAGAGGCUCCUGUGGGAAGCUGGAUGCCUUCAUCAGCAGCAGCCCCAGGGCCUGCCCUUGGGGCCUGGCGGUUGCCGCUCUGCUGGGCAUCUCUACUGUUCUGUCUUCUACCCGGUGGUCGGCCCACGCCACUGGUGUCCUCAGUUGAGGUGAGGACAACUUGAGCUGCCAGGGUGGACGGUGGAAGUGAGCGGCAGGACCAUGGCAGGUACACCUAGGAGGAGUCAGCAGGUCCAGCGCAGAGAAUGUGGCAUGGUGGCCACAGCAGCACCGGCAUCUGCAUUUGUGACUCGAGCUUUUCAUAGCCUUGGGGAACAGCAGUGAGAGGCAAGCACAGUCCUGUCUGCAAAGAGAGAUGGAGAAAGAAGGUGUCCUCUCCUCAGACUGGAGGCCCAGGCAGGGAAAGAGAAGGGUCUUUGGAACUCCUGACCAGGAGACCCUGCUGGCCAUACUGGGAAAGCAGAAGCCAGCAACUCAUUAGAAGCCUCUUCUCAGCCCUCCUAAAGAGAUGUGGGCACUUGAGCAGGUUCUGAGGGCUCAAGAGGAUGCUGUGUUCGAGGCAGGAAGUGGCCUUGUGUAGUUGAGUCCCCGUGAGAAAGCAAAUGCUGGGGUGAUCCUCACCUCAGAAACCUUCCUGGGGGUUUCUCUUCCCAGCUGGCUCAGCCCUAUCGCGCUCUAAUCCUGAGGGCCAUGGAGAUGGUCCUGAGCAGCCACAUCCACCAGCUGGACAAGGACACAGCCAGCAUUCUCAUCCUCCUGGCCUCCAGCGAGAUGACCAGGACGAAGGUAUGGGCCUCUGGUCUUGCAGGCUCAGUCCUGCCCUCAACAGGAGACUCCUUUUCCCUGGCCUCUAUCCAGGAAUCUCCGGCAUAGGGCUUUGUGUCUGGCUGGCUCAGGGCUGGCAGAGACCCCUUGGUCCUGUGCACACCCUCUAGGUCAGGGGAUGGCCACCCUAUAAUUUUCAGAGGCAGAAGCUAAAGUGAGAACAAGGUGCCUUAAUGCAGGGCACUAAGGUCACUGGUGCCGUGCACUCCUGGUCUGUCUUCUACCCGGUGGUCGGCCCAUGGCAUGGGCCACAUUCUCCUGCAGACCUCGCCCGACUUCUCUUAGCUCUGUUGCUUCUCCUGCAGGCUGAGGGACCUUGGAGGGGAGGCUGUACCAUGUGGUCCCUCUGACCUGCACUUAGUAACCUAGUAGGGACACUGAAACAGGGUGGCUUGUCCUUGGCCAGCUGUCACCUAGGGCAGAAUUCUUGCUGGAGCCUGUGGGGAGGAUCCAGGGAGAGGUCUGCCUUAUGGCUUUCUGGGGUGCAGGGCCUGGACUGUGAUUGGCAGCGGGCUGCGAGCAGCGUCCUGGUGGCUGUGGGAAAGCGGUUCAUCAACCAGGUGAUGGAGGAGGUGCUCAGCAGGUUCCAGCCCGGGGUCCUGCCACACUGUUCUGUGCUGCAGACUCUUGCCAGCCUCUCGGUGUCCAAUGGUAGGUGCCAGCUUGAUCUGGGCCUCUGGGGAAUACCUGGGCCUUGGGUUUGGCACUCUGCCACCUGCUCAGGCUGGCGGGUACUCAGGGCUGUGCUGAUGGUGCUUUGUGGCCUUCCCUGCCCGAGGCGUGUGCAGGUCAGACUUGGCUGCAGCCUCAUGACGGUUCCUCUCUUGCAGCAUUUGGCAUGGUCCCCUUCCUGCCGUCCAUCCUGAGCACCAUGCUGCCCAUGCUGGGCAUGGCGAAGCAGGAUGCAUUGAGGGUGGUGUUCUGCUGUGGUAAGAUGACUGGGCACGGCUGCCCACCUCAUUCACUUUUAUCUCAGGGGCCCCUUUGGGGGGGGGGUCUGCUUAAGAAAUAUCUAUUUUGGAGAUUCAGGAGUUCAGUAGCUGUAGAAAGGCAGGUGGGCAGUUGGAGGGAGGAUCUUCCUGGCCCAGCCACUGCUGCUACGAGGGUCCUGCACUCAGCAGACGCUGCUCUGCCUUUUGCUGCUUCUCUGCCACCGGGGACCACCCGUCUCUGCCCGGCCUCAGGCUGGAAGGGAGCUCUGCUUCCUUGGAGCAUGACUGUCUCCUCUGCCCUGUGUCUGUUGUGAGCUGGCAGUGACCACCCCAUGGGCACCUCAGUGGUGAUGGAGAGGCUCCCUGCAGCCUGUGUCUAUAGCCUCCCAUGUGUCUGGCGGGGCCCACGUAGGUCUUGGUGUGACCAUGUGUCAGCCCGCAGGUGCCAGGUGAGUCUGUUGGGGUGGAGGCCACCCUGCAGAAGAAGGCCCGGUGAGCUUGGCGGGAGCUCGGUUCUGGUGCCCUGUGAGAAGGGGGCACACCUGGGCCUUUCCAGUUCCCCAGGAAGACAGGACCUUGUGCCCUCAGGUCCUUCUUGGUGGGGGUAUGUUAGGAGCUUCCCUGUCACUUCCCCUGGGGAUAGGUUGGGAGUGGCCUGGUGCCAAGGGUGGGCCUGGUUUUGGUGUGGAAGGCGUGACAGGCUAGAGGGUGACUUGGUGCUUUGGGUCCGGGUUCUGUUGUGCUCUUGGUGUCUUUGGGUCCGGGGUCUGGUCUCACCUUGCAGCGGCAGAGCUCUAAUGGCUCCAGCUCCCGCCACCUCCCUUCACAGCCCUGCACCCCCUCCCCCUGGCCCUGCCUCUCACGCCUGCUGGGGCUGCAAUCCUGUGUGAGCAGGAAAACACCACUUGACCUGGCUCUGGAUGACCGUGGGGUUCCUGACAGUGAGUAGGGUGUGGCCUUGGGUCCCUAUGCGCAGACCCUGAGGACACAGAGGUCUGGUAGGAGGAGGGCUUUCCCAGGCAGAGGCAGCAGGUGUGCUGUGAGGACUGCACAGCCCUGGUGUGGCCUGGUGUUGAGUGCUGGCUGCUGCCUCCUGGUGGCUCUCCGAGGAAGUACCUGCCCUUGGCCUGUCUGGCCACAGCUGCCUGAACCAUCCAGUGCGUGCGGGUCAGUGCUCUCUGUGCUGAAGCAGGUGGACUGGCUCAACAGGGAGCCAUGAGGAUGCCUCCUCCGUCUGUGCUGCUCACAGGAUGAGCCGCUCCCUGCUGCUGGAGGACACCGUGGUCCUGUGGGGACAGCAGCCUUCAGGUGGGAGGGCCAGUCACAGCCUGGCGUUGUGGCCAGGCAGGAGAGGAGUGGGGAGGCUCUGAGACAGGCCCCACAGGGCCGGCAGCUGGUGGUUCUUGCCCCACAAAGGAGUCUGACAGAAGCAAAGACUGCGUUCAGGGAAGCGAAGGGAGCAGAGAAGGCCAUGGCCAGCACGCAGGGAGACGUGGGCGAGCUCCACAGAGAAGCUACGUCAGGCGGCAAGUAGAAGACACCGGAGAAAGGCCAGAAAAGAGGGCCAAGGAAGCCCCUGGGUACAGAGCCAAAGGUCUCAUUGUGGAAAAUAGAGGAAGAGGAGGAAGAUUGACAGGUGAGACCAAGGAGCAUAGGCCACAGCAGACCCCAGAAGGGGGGAUGGAGAGUGCCCAGCACAUUGGGGUGCAGUGCAGAGAUGGCCUGGCCUCAGGCCUGGGCCACAUGGUCCGCCAGGAGCCCGUGUCCUGCAUCAGUCUGCCCCGGUGCCAUCUGGCAGUGAGGGUAGAAUAAAGGCUUCUCAGAGAGUGAGGGCUCAGACGUGCACCUCCCCCUGUGCCUCCCCAGAGCCACAGGAAGGUUUGCUGCGCCAAGGAGUGGAUUGAGCUGAGGGGAAGAUGCCUGCAUAGCUGAGGGGCCCACAGAUGGCCUGACCUGCAGGGAGGCUGGGGCUGCGGGAGUGACACACACCUGGAGAACUUACAGACACCACUGUGGCGCCAGGAGGAGGAGAAUCCCUGGCUAUGGGCAGCCAGCUCUGAGCAGCACUGUGGCCCCACCAGGCCAGCCAAAGUUUCAGUGGGGUUGGAAGUGCCAAGGGGAGGAGCGCCUGGCGAGGGGGAUGACGAUGACCAUCGUUUACAGAGGAGAAGACUCCCUGAUGGUUGAUUCCUGAGAAAGGGGGAUGUCCAUAGGGAAUGCCAGGCACGGUGGUGCACACCUUCCUAUCCCAGCACCUCAGGAGGCUAAGGCAUGAGGAUCGUGAGUUCAAAGCCAGCCUCAGCAAUUUAGCGAGGCACAAAGCAACUUAGCAAGACUCUGUCUCUAAAUUUAAAAGAAGGGGGGCAGUUGGGGAUGUGGUUCAAGGGUUAAGCACCCCUGGGUUUAAACCUGCCGGGCUGGCUGCAGUGGUGCACAACUGCAUUCCCAACCACUUGGGAGGCUGAGGCAGGAGGAUCACAAGUUCAAGAUCAGCGUAGGAACGUAGUGAACCCUGUCUCAAAUUAAAAAGGCUAGGGAUGUAGCUCAGUGGUCAAGCCCUGGGUUCAGUUCCUAGCAACCUUCACCAAUAAAAACCUACCAGCAGGUGGGUAAAUGGAUUCUGCCUCUGGCAAUGUGAUGACCUGUCAUUUGCAAAAACCUUCCUGCUCUGGAAGACCUAGACGUGCUGACCAGUCUGACAAACAGCCUGCUGAUCAGAAAGAAAUCCUGGGUCCUCAGGGAAUGAGAGGAGUGCAGCGGGCAGAGGAUUCUGUUGCCUGCCCAGUGUCAGUGACGGUUGGCAGAGACGAGGGUGCUGGGGAAGAAGGCCUUUCUGUGCACCACGCAGGGCCAGACCCCACCUGCAGUAGACUCCUAGCUCUGGCCCUCAACAAAGGGUGACCACUGGGAAGCCCUCCACCAUGAGCCCUGGCCAGGAGGUGGUUUUCUUUCAAAACUUCUAAAUUCUCCUUCCUAAGAACUUGUCACUAUGGCCUGCCCUUGUGCUGAUGGGGGGCUCAGGCUUGUCCCUUCAGUUGGCCCGCAGAGCCCCAGGCUGAGGCACUAGCUUUGUGUGAGCUAGUCAGAACUGUCCCUGGAGAUGGCAGCGUCCGUGAAGCCAGCCGUGAAGCCAGCCUGGGUGGUGUUUCCAGGCACUCGGUGAGGAAAGUGCAGUCUGGGUCUGGGGUCCAGCUUGAGCACGCAGGGCACUGGUCACUGUUCAUUCGGCAGACCCAAAGCAGAAAAUAACGUUUUGGAAUGAUCCAACGUGGGAUGCAGAAGAAUAGGGGAAGGCAUGAAAGGAGGAACAAACAUAAGAAAAGAGCAAGUUCUAUGAAAAGAAAAGGCCAAAUAUGAUUUUUUGAAAUGAAACUAUGUCCACUGAAGAGGAAGCAGGUACCAUGGACAUCUGUCUGAAGACCUGGAGGAGAAUGGACAGGGGGCAGGUCUGAAGACACCCGAGGGGCAGCACUAACAAACAGGAUGGAGAGAAGGCAUUGGAUGGUCAGGCUUGCUGACCAUCUGCCUCCACAAAAGAGAGGACCUUCCUCAUGCUGCCAAGUACGGCAGACCCAAAGUGGCUGAGUGAGAAGAUAUCCAUCCGUCCCAGUGUGUCCUGUCAAACUGUGGAUGCCAGGAUGUGUGAAGUGAACCCAGGACAGUCCAUGUCUGCUGGUAGCAUAGCCACUCACCACUGACCCCCACAAUGGUGCCAGAGACCUGCUCCUUGGAACCCUAAGCCCAUCACCAGGGAGGGGAUAAGCCUCAUGUGGCUGAAGCAGAUCCUACCAUCAGAGCCACCACUUGGGCUGGAAAAGGCGGGGAGGCCAGCAGGGUAAGUGGGGUGGGGUGCGCACCAGCAGGAAAGUAGCCGCUUGGCCCUGGGCCUCUCGGGCCUCUCUCGGGCCUCUCAGGUUCACCGUGGGGAGGAGGAAGCUGGUGCUGUGUGCCCUGCACUGUGGGGCAGAGAAGUGCCACGUGACUUGGGUACAACCACCGGGGUAGACGUUGUUGUCCAAUUUCCUCCCUGCCCUGGGCUGUGUGACCCAGAGCACAAAGGAAAAAGACCGUGUCCAGGUUCCGUUCACUGUCUGAAGACCACAUUUAUACUGAGGGGACUCAGACACCAGCCCACCACCACGUGCCUGUGCCCAGGCUGGGGGCAGAUGGCUGUGGAUACCUGUGAACAGCUCACUUUUUUUUUUUUUUAAGACAAGACAUUUUAUGUAUUUAUCUCUAUGUGGUGCUGAGGCGCGACCCCAGGGCCCACACGGGUGAGGCGACUGCCCCACCGCCCAGCCCAGCCCACAGACCACUUUUUGUAGGACUCAGAAGCCCAUGCUCUGUUGGCUCCUCCUAGGACGUGGCCUCAGCAGCUCGCCUUCUCUCUUGACCCAGGGCCCCUUGCUGACCGCUCCCACAUCUGCACCUACGCCAGGUCUGUGUCCUGGCUCCAGCCUCCAGCUUCACCUCCUGCUGGACUUUUUACUUGACCUCCAUGGUCACUCGGAGCCCAGUGGUGUGCAAGCCACUGUCCAGCCUACAGGACAUACAGGCGGCAGCACACUCUCUGGGAAGGCCUGGGUGGCUGGUGCCCAGGGCCACACCACCCUCCCUCCCUCCAGAUCUGUCCUGCCCAGGCCUGGUGCUGCCACCCCUCGGCUUCUGCCUCUUGCCCUUGGAAAGUGUGACAGGAGCUGUCGGUGAGGGCAGUGGGCUGACUCCACCGGGCUGGAGAGCAGGCACAGGCAUUGGGAGUUGCCAGAGGGCACCAUCGGAAACCUCCAGCAAUUGGCUGAUGUAAAACAGUAGAAGCUGCCGGUCCGCCAGUUUGGGAAGCUAGCAGUCCAGGAGACGGUGUUGGUGGGUUGGCUCCCUCUGGGUUCAGGGAGCACCAUUCCUUGCCUCUCCCUGCUUCUGGUUGCGUCGUCGAUCCUCAGCAGCUUUGGUUCACCCUCGGUCUCUGCUUCUGUUGCACACGGCCAUCUUCCCUGUUCCUGUCUCUGUCUUUUCUUGUGGGACACUGUCCUCUUGCUCCACUCUGCUCUGAUGUGAUCUCAUGUUAACAGUUACACCAGCAACCACUCUGUUUCCAGAUAAGGCCGCAUUCUGAGGUUUCCAGGGGGAUUUGAAUUGGGAGAGUGUGUCUGGCCAGGUGCUGGGCAGGUGUCCUGCAGGCUGUUUGGGGAUCUCCAAGGGCAGGCUGGAGACCCAGCGCAGCAUCGCCUGCAGCAGCUCACCAGGGGCCAUCUCAGCCCUACAGCACUUCAGUGAGAGCACCCUGGAGUACCUGGCCAACUUGGACCAAGCCCCGGACCCCACUGUCAGGAGGGAUGCCUUUGCUACCGACAUCUUCAGCGCCUAUGACAUUCUCUUCCAUCACUGGCUCCAGAGUCGAGAUGCCAAGGUACUGCUGCUUCCCAUGGGCAUGGCCUGGCCUCGGGGACUGUGCUUUGCUAUUCUGCCAGCUCUGUUGAAGGUGAUCCUGGGGUGGGGAAGAGGGGCCAACUUGCCCGUCCAUACCUACCCACAGGUGCUCUGUGCCUGGGGCCCCCCCACAGCUGGUGCUCAGGAGCUGGUGGGGGCCUUGCCUGCAGGUUGCCAUACCUGCACAGGGUCUACCUGCACAGGUCUCCACACUGGCUCCAGCCUGCUCUAAAAUCUAUCCUGUUCCUGGGAGCUGUGGUCACCGUUGUCUUUCUCAGGCUCCAUUGCUGCCUCCAAAGUCCUCCUGCCCCCACCCAGCCCCUUGCCAUGGUCAUUCUGCAACCAUGCCCUGACCUCUAGGUGCUGGACUUGCUUCCAGCCCUGAUGGCCCCACUGGGCCCUGCCGUCCUCUCCUGUGGACGGCUCUGCAGUGACAGACAAACUGCCCCCUCUGUCUCCUCAGCUCCGGCUGGCCGUGGUGGCGGCUCUGGGGCCCAUGAGCCACUUGCUUCCCAGUGAGAAGCUAGAGGAGCAGCUUCCCAGGCUCCUCCCUGGAGUCCUCGGCCUCUACAAGAAGCACGCGGAGACCUUCCACGUGUCCAAGGUAUCUGCAGGCGGGGAGGGCACGUCCUCCUCUGAGGACCUAGUGCUAGGUUGAAGCGAAGGACCCCCACUGCUCCGCUCCGGACAGGAGCCCAGGGGGUGGUUCCUUGCCGCCUCCACCCCGGCCCAUGGUGUCGUCCCAGCCGUCCCAGAUCCUGUUGGUAAAGUUAGUGCUUCCUGUUGGAAGCCCCAGGCAGAGUGCAUGUUUUCCUGGACUUCUCCCUGUGACCUGGGGGCUCUCCUGGGGGGAGGACGUGAACUGAAGUCCUCUCCUGCCUGUCUCAUGCAGAGCCUGGGCCAGAUCCUGGAGGCAGCAGUGAGUGUGGGCAGCCGCACCCUGGAGGUCCAGCUUGAUGCCCUCCUGGCCACUCUGCACACUCAGGUAGGCUGGGGGCAGGGGCUGCAGGCAGAGCUGGGGUCAGGUCACCUGACAGGAGUGCAGGGAAGGGUGUAUGCAGACCAGAGUGCACAGAUGGAGCCUUGGGAGUGAGGGAGGAGCCGCAGGGGGUGGGUUCACCUGCACUGCUCCCUCUCUCCAGCAUCAGUGGGCCCACUGGCCAGCCUGGCAAGCUCACUCACCUUGGUCCAGGAGUGGGAAGCGGGGAGGGCUGCAGCCGAGACGCUGCAGGUGGUGUAAGCACUGGGGUGACGAUGUGGAACUGCGCGGGCAGCUGGGCUCUAGAGAGAGCAGAACAGGAGUGUGCCCAGGAGGACGGGGGAAGUCACGUGGCAGGCUUCCUGCUCCCCGAGGCAGGGUCCGCAUGCAGUCAAGCCUGGGUUCUACCAUACUGGUGUGUGUGUGUGUGUGCUGUCUCUNNNNNNNNNNNNNNNNNNNNNNNNNNNNNNNNNNNNNNNNNNNNNNNNNNNNNNNNNNNNNNNNNNNNNNNNNNNNNNNNNNNNNNNNNNNNNNNNNNNNNNNNNNNNNNNNNNNNNNNNNNNNNNNNNNNNNNNNNNNNNNNNNNNNNNNNNNNNNNNNNNNNNNNNNNNNNNNNNNNNNNNNNNNNNNNNNNNNNNNNNNNNNNNNNNNNNNNNNNNNNNNNNNNNNNNNNNNNNNNNNNNNNNNNNNNNNNNNNNNNNNNNNNNNNNNNNNNNNNNNNNNNNNNNNNNNNNNNNNNNNNNNNNNNNNNNNNNNNNNNNNNNNNNNNNNNNNNNNNNNNNNNNNNNNNNNNNNNNNNNNNNNNNNNNNNNNNNNNNNNNNNNNNNNNNNNNNNNNNNNNNNNNNNNNNNNNNNNNNNNNNNNNNNNNNNNNNNNNNNNNNNNNNNNNNNNNNNNNNNNNNNNNNNNNNNNNNNNNNNNNNNNNNNNNNNNNNNNNNNNNNNNNNNNNNNNNNNNNNNNNNNNNNNNNNNNNNNNNNNNNNNNNNNNNNNNNNNNNNNNNNNNNNNNNNNNNNNNNNNNNNNNNNNNNNNNNNNNNNNNNNNNNNNNNNNNNNNNNNNNNNNNNNNNNNNNNNNNNNNNNNNNNNNNNNNNNNNNNNNNNNNNNNNNNNNNNNNNNNNNNNNNNNNNNNNNNNNNNNNNNNNNNNNNNNNNNNNNNNNNNNNNNNNNNNNNNNNNNNNNNNNNNNNNNNNNNNNNNNNNNNNNNNNNNNNNNNNNNNNNNNNNNNNNNNNNNNNNNNNNNNNNNNNNNNNNNNNNNNNNNNNNNNNNNNNNNNNNNNNNNNNNNNNNNNNNNNNNNNNNNNNNNNNNNNNNNNNNNNNNNNNNNNNNNNNNNNNNNNNNNNNNNNNNNNNNNNNNNNNNNNNNNNNNNNNNNNNNNNNNNNNNNNNNNNNNNNNNNNNNNNNNNNNNNNNNNNNNNNNNNNNNNNNNNNNNNNNNNNNNNNNNNNNNNNNNNNNNNNNNNNNNNNNNNNNNNNNNNNNNNNNNNNNNNNNNNNNNNNNNNNNNNNNNNNNNNNNNNNNNNNNNNNNNNNNNNNNNNNNNNNNNNNNNNNNNNNNNNNNNNNNNNNNNNNNNNNNNNNNNNNNNNNNNNNNNNNNNNNNNNNNNNNNNNNNNNNNNNNNNNNNNNNNNNNNNNNNNNNNNNNNNNNNNNNNNNNNNNNNNNNNNNNNNNNNNNNNNNNNNNNNNNNNNNNNNNNNNNNNNNNNNNNNNNNNNNNNNNNNNNNNNNNNNNNNNNNNNNNNNNNNNNNNNNNNNNNNNNNNNNNNNNNNNNNNNNNNNNNNNNNNNNNNNNNNNNNNNNNNNNNNNNNNNNNNNNNNNNNNNNNNNNNNNNNNNNNNNNNNNNNNNNNNNNNNNNNNNNNNNNNNNNNNNNNNNNNNNNNNNNNNNNNNNNNNNNNNNNNNNNNNNNNNNNNNNNNNNNNNNNNNNNNNNNNNNNNNNNNNNNNNNNNNNNNNNNNNNNNNNNNNNNNNNNNNNNNNNNNNNNNNNNNNNNNNNNNNNNNNNNNNNNNNNNNNNNNNNNNNNNNNNNNNNNNNNNNNNNNNNNNNNNNNNNNNNNNNNNNNNNNNNNNNNNNNNNNNNNNNNNNNNNNNNNNNNNNNNNNNNNNNNNNNNNNNNNNNNNNNNNNNNNNNNNNNNNNNNNNNNNNNNNNNNNNNNNNNNNNNNNNNNNNNNNNNNNNNNNNNNNNNNNNNNNNNNNNNNNNNNNNNNNNNNNNNNNNNNNNNNNNNNNNNNNNNNNNNNNNNNNNNNNNNNNNNNNNNNNNNNNNNNNNNNNNNNNNNNNNNNNNNNNNNNNNNNNNNNNNNNNNNNNNNNNNNNNNNNNNNNNNNNNNNNNNNNNNNNNNNNNNNNNNNNNNNNNNNNNNNNNNNNNNNNNNNNNNNNNNNNNNNNNNNNNNNNNNNNNNNNNNNNNNNNNNNNNNNNNNNNNNNNNNNNNNNNNNNNNNNNNNNNNNNNNNNNNNNNNNNNNNNNNNNNNNNNNNNNNNNNNNNNNNNNNNNNNNNNNNNNNNNNNNNNNNNNNNNNNNNNNNNNNNNNNNNNNNNNNNNNNNNNNNNNNNNNNNNNNNNNNNNNNNNNNNNNNNNNNNNNNNNNNNNNNNNNNNNNNNNNNNNNNNNNNNNNNNNNNNNNNNNNNNNNNNNNNNNNNNNNNNNNNNNNNNNNNNNNNNNNNNNNNNNNNNNNNNNNNNNNNNNNNNNNNNNNNNNNNNNNNNNNNNNNNNNNNNNNNNNNNNNNNNNNNNNNNNNNNNNNNNNNNNNNNNNNNNNNNNNNNNNNNNNNNNNNNNNNNNNNNNNNNNNNNNNNNNNNNNNNNNNNNNNNNNNNNNNNNNNNNNNNNNNNNNNNNNNNNNNNNNNNNNNNNNNNNNNNNNNNNNNNNNNNNNNNNNNNNNNNNNNNNNNNNNNNNNNNNNNNNNNNNNNNNNNNNNNNNNNNNNNNNNNNNNNNNNNNNNNNNNNNNNNNNNNNNNNNNNNNNNNNNNNNNNNNNNNNNNNNNNNNNNNNNNNUGGUGGCCUGUGUCUGGAGGAGAUGGGGGGGUCCCCCCUCUGCCCUCCGUUGCCUGGUCUGUCUGUGUCUGGAGGAGAUGGGUGGGUCCCCCCUCUGCCCUCCGUUGCCUGGUGGCCUGUGUCUGGAGGAGAUGGGUGGGUCCCUCCUCUGCCCUCCGUUGUCUGGUCUGUCUGUGUCUGGAGGAGAUGGGUGGGUCCCCCCUCUGCCCUCCGUUGCCUGGUGGCCUGUGUCUGGAGGAGAUGGGUGGGAGUCCGCUUUGCCUCUUCCCAGGCGACUGCCCGUUGCUGUGCACCACUUACCAUGGAAGCCGCCCCAUUUCCCUUGUGGUCCUGCCCUCUGCUGGCACUGUCAUCCAGGGGCUUUGCUGGGCUGGAAGGCCUGCUUCUGAGAGGGACCUGACUCUCGGGAGUGGUCCUCCCAGGCCUCCUCAGAGGCCAAGGGUCGGGGCCUGUCGGGUCAGGUCUGGCCCUCAGCCCCUGCACCUCACCUGCCUCCUCCCCGAACCCCAAGGAGGCGUGCUGUCAGGCAAGGGACAGUCCUGGGCUGGGUGCUGCUCUGUGCUGGGGUCCCUCCCGUGGCUGCAGGGUGGACCCUGAGGUUCCUUAGAGCCUCAUGCAGAGGCCCUGCCUGGGUCCCGGGCUGUGACACUGAGGAGGUGGGCGGGGCCUGCGGGCCCACUGAGCGUGCCUGCGUUAGUGAGGCUCCGUGAAGCCCCAGAGGUUUUUCUUUUAGUCUUUACUUUUUAAUCAAGGCACCUUUUGAAGGCGUGAGCUCCGUGAGCUCCGGAUGUCUCUGGUGCUUAAUUCCAGAGGGGACUGGCUCCAGCGCAUGGCUGGGAGUACACACCCAGGGACGUGGGCAUGCUUCUUUUUAAUGACAAAGCACCCUGUGUCCUGCAGGCUCAUUCUGCCUGUGUGUGGUGUGGUGUUUCUCUAACCCCCUUGACUGCAAGGGACUGGCCACCCAGGCACCUCUGAUGGUACAGCAUGUGUGUCCCACAGCUGGCACCUACCUGGGCAUCCCUUCUGGGUGAGAAUGAGCUGGAGAGUGAUUUGCUGGGGCUCUGAGCCCCAGGAGGGCAGCAAGCAUUGUCCCCUGUAACCUCUGUCCUGUUCCCUGGAGCAGAUCUGUGUGCCCGUGGAGUCCUCGAGUCCCCUGGUGAUGAGCAGCCAGAAAGAGGUGCUGCGCUGCUUCACGGUGCUGGGUGAGUGGUGGGCUCCUCCUUGAACAGGUACCUCAGGGACACACUGCGCCAGUUGCCUCUUCAUGUAGAGGAUGGUGUGAAUGGGAUGAGGAGGCCGCCUUUCUACCUCUGCCCAGCAUCCGAGAGGCCCCGGGGGGCUGAGCCCUCACCACUGCCCCAGGCACUUAGUUUCCAGGUAGAUGCAUGUUAUGGUCCUGCCCGUCCUCGAGGCUCUGCCCCUGCUCCUCACCCAUGACCAGCUCCAUGGUGCCUCUUAUCCUGGUCCUGGCCAUCCUUCCAACUUUACCUGACUCCAGCUAGAGAUGUCAUCACCUGAUCUCCUGGACAGCAGAUGCUGUUGUGUCAGCUCUGUCCCCUGCAUCCAUGCAUGCUCAGGGCCAGCGAUACCAGUGUCCACCUGGGGCAUGGAAGGAGAGGCAGUAAGACUGGCUCAGCCACACCAGGUGUGUGUGUAGGAGGACAGCAGGUCUGAUGAGGACAUAGGCAGACCUUGCUCCUGACAACCUGGUUCCCCAAGGUGAAGGCGUCUGCAUGGGUCGUAGCCCCCUGUUCCUGUUGGCAGCUGAGAGCUCCGGGCUGGAGGCUGAUGCCUGGGUCGCCUAGACCUGCACUGGCCUGGGCCCAAGUGCUGAAGAGCUGCUCCCAGGUGCAGCUCUGCCCAGAGCAAGUGGGAUGAGGAGGCCUCUGGGGGCCCUGUGAAUUUGAGAAGCUGAGUGGGCGCUCAGAUCCCGUGGGCCCAAGGUUUGGAUCUCCUGUGCUCCAGCUGGUGCUGCCUGCUGGGCCUAUGCCCUGGCAGGAGGGUCUGCUCCAAUGCCUGCCCUGAGACUGGUGCCCUUGAGAAUGCUGUGGGGCAGAGAUGGUGGCCUGGGGUUCCAGCUUCCCUCGGUCCCCAAAGCAAGUCUUUGUGUUUCCUCCAUGCUGGGAGCAAGAUGGCCAGGACAGAUGGACGCUGGCCCUGAGGACUCGGAGGCGCAAAGGAGAGGCUGUUAGACCCCACCUGAUGUGCAUGUUGUCCCACAGCCUCCUGCCUGCCUGACCGGCUGCUGGCCUUCCUGCUGCCCAGGCUGGACACCAGCAGUGAGAGACUGCGUGUGGGUACCCUGCAGAUCCUGAGGCACCUCAUCAACUCGGCUGGUAAGUGCCCUCCACGCCUGCACUGUGUCCAGUGUGGGGUAGUGCUUGGAAGGUGGAGAUUGCCUUUUAGGUGAAAAGUAGCAUCGCACUUGGGUUUCAUUUUUCGUUCAUUAAGACACAGGGUCUUGCUGUGUUGCCCAGCUGGCCCUGAACCCCUGGGCUCAAGUGAUACUCCUGCCUCAGCCUCCCAAGAAGCGGGACUUCUUUCUGGUACCCACCCCUGUGCUGGGCCUUUACUUUGAAUUUCCUAAAAAUUUUUCCCACCUUUCUAUUCUGCAAAAUCCUACAAGAGCAGUGUCCAUCUGCCCUUCACUGGACGUUGAUCACUGAUACCUGCCUUGAUAGAGGCUGCAGACUGCAGUGCCCUGAAGGCCCUGCCUGACUCCCUAUGUGUUCCCCUGACCCCGUCAGCACAGGACCCAGACACAGAGCCUGACAGUAAACACACUUGCCUGGUGUGGCUUGCUCUCCUGUGGGAUCUAGUUGAAGCCACACUCUGGCUUAGUUUAGUUUUCAGACUUUGUUAAUGCAGCGUCCUUUCUCUGAGGAGCGAGGCCAGUUCUGGAGUAUGUCCUGAGUAGCUGUGCCUGAUGGUCUCCACAUAGUUGGAGAUUCAGGUUUCCUGCGUUUAAGGCUGAUUUAAUUGAUCAACAACAAGUUUGAAAAAAGUGAUCACAGUUUUACAUGUGGGUUUGUUUUUUGAUGAAUCUUAUUGAUCUCCUUUUAGAGGAGUCAGACCAUGAGCCACCUUAGGCCUGAAAGUUGGUGAUAAUUUACAUUAAAAUUUUUUUUGAAGUUUUCAGUUGUAGGUAGACAUAAUACUUUUCUUAUUUAUUUAUCUAUGUGAUGCUGAGGAUGGAACCCAGGACCCCACACAUUCGAGGCAAGUGCUCUAUCACUGAGCCCCAGCCCCAGCCCCAGCCCCUAGCUUACAUUUUUAACAGAUUCCAAAAGCAAGUGCAAGGCUGGGUGUGGUGGUGCUGUGAUCAUGGCUCCUCAGGAGGCCAGGAGGACCAUAAGUUUGAGGCUAGACUGGGCAACUUAUCAAGACCCUGUCUCAAAAUAAAAUGAAAUAGGGCUGGGCAUGCUGCGUUUGCUAAGCAACUUGGGAACACAUGUGAGACAGGAUCUGCACCCCACAAAGCCUGUCUGGCCUGUUACGGGACAUGUGCACUGGCUUCUGUCCUGUGAGGUCAGCUCUUUACCAGUGCUGGGUUGCAGAUAGUGGCCGUGGGGCUGGGGCAGCCCGCAGAGUUGUGGAAAUGAUGUAGGGACAGCUUGAGAUGGGGCAGGGGCAGGAACGGUGCUGGACCCAGGAGUCCAGGGAGGGCAUGGGACACGGGCCUCUGCCGGCACAGUCAGCCUGGGCCUGUUGGCUUCGCGUCCCUGUGGUGCUGCUAGUGGCCAUCUGGGCUGGGAGGGAGUUUGAAGGCAGGACUCUCCACUCUGAUGAGUAGUCUCCCAGAUCAGCAUUUCCUGUCCGUCACCAGCGGCCCCUGUGUGUUGCCAGGAGGUGCAGAAAGGCCGAGUACCUGGCCUGGGGGCUAGCCUAGGCAGGGCCCAGGCCUCUCCCCACCCCAGGCUCACGGUGCGCGUGGCUGGCCGGGCUCCUUGACCCUCCCCUCCCGCACACACUCUCCCACUGAGAAGUCGCUUCAUCGUGACCUGCAUUUCUGCUCUGUCCUCUGAAGUCAUUUUCUGUGCUGUGUUAGUCACCGUUUCAUCACGGUCACCAAAACAUCUGGCAGGACGACUCCCGGGGGAAACGGUCACCUCACUCCCAUUUCAGAGGUCCACCCACGGCCGCUGAGUCCAUUGCCUGGGCCUGCAGCAGGGCAGAGGGUCACGGCAGGAGGGCCUGAAGGAAGAAGCGUCCCUGCCAGGGCAGAGUGAGGAAGCCGAGUGGGGAAGGUCCACUGGGCAGAUGCCCACUUCUAGGACAUGCCCCAGCAACCUGCCCUCCCCCGUCCUCUUCCUGCCUGCUGGCAGUCACCACCAGUUGGUCCAUUCAAACCAACGGACCGGUGAGGCCUCACCCCCCACAGCACCGCUGGACGCUCCUGUGUCAGUGUUUUGGCUCUUAGGGGCACUUCACAUCCAGACCAUAGCACGUCCACUUGCAGAAGUGACAGCUCUUGGCGUGCUGCUCUCUGGUGCACGGGCAGGUUCCUGUCUGCCCGACUGGGCAGCGCCCAGGUUUCUAUCUGGCCCACACUCAGGUUCCUCUGAAAUGGCAAGUUCUCCCUGCUGUUCGCUCCCCUUGGGACUUUCUGGCUCUCGAGGCUGAUGGAAUCACAAUGUCCUGUAGCCCCUUUUUGGUGUUUUUUUAUUUUUAUUUUUAUUUUGGUACCAGGGAUUGGACCCAGGGCUGCUUCACCACUGAGCCAUACCCUGGCCUUUUAGAGGCAGGCCUUGCUGAAUUGCUGAGGCUGUCUUUGAACUUGAGAUCCUCCUGCCUCAGCCUCCCCAGCCCUGGGAUGACAGGCCUGUGCCACCCUGCCUGGCCAUUCCUUAUUUUUCUCACCCUGUCACACAGCACUGACACUAGAGUCACAAUGCUUCCCCUGUAGGGUGACUGAGCACAAAGCUGUGAACGUGUCUCUCCCACUGCCCUGGCUCCCCCUGCACCGUGUCUGCCCUCCUUCCCGCCCUCCUCUGGCUCUUUCUGCAGGGGCUGCGCGUGCGUGUGGCUGUCGGCUGGCUCGGGGAGGUUCGUGAGCACAGCCUUGCCUGCCUGCUUGUCUGGCUCUGUGUGGGUGACGGACCCUUGGCUGCGUGUCCAACCCCCGCUCCUGUCUCGUGGGUUAACAGGUCACUCCUUUGCUUUUGGCAAGGAGUUGCCAGAUUCAGCAGAGACCAGCAGGCCCCCAGUAUGACUGAGACGUUCUUGUGCUAAAAUGCUGUUUGUUGUCUAUCUGAAAUUCAAAUGGAGGGGGAGUCCUGGGUUUUGUUGGAGGGUCGCCAUCCAAACCUGACGUAGAUGACUUUCUCUCCUGUUCUGUUUGCUUUUGUUUUCAGAUAUCCAAGUAUUUUUUUCUUUAAUGUCCAGUGAUUUCACCAGAACCUCCUGGUGCUGGUCACUUCAGGGCAUCUGCUGCAGCGGAGCAGAGUCCCUGCUCUUUGCUGUGGCUGUGCUGCCCCGUGUUCCCUGUGGUCCUGACGCCCUGCGCCUCCCUGCCUGACACGGGGUCCCCUCCAGGAGGCGCUCUCACGCGGCCCCGCUUGAGUUUGGCCAGCGUUAUGGCUCCUGUGGCUUCAGGGUUCUGGGCUGUGGAUUAAAAUGUCAGGGUGACACCUCCCUCACUCUCGAGGGACUGUCUGCUGAAUGAAAGCUUUGCUCCUCGCAGUGCAGUAGUGGUCGCUGCACCAUGCCAAGUCCUCUGGGCUCAUUUUUAUUAACCCCACCGUUUCCUGAUGGCCAUUUUUUAACCUCUUCUAGAUAUCAGGAAAAGAGGGGUCAGGUUGCUGGUUCUCAGCAAGAGGGCGUCCCCAGACCAGCAGCCGCAGGUCUCCUGGGAACAGGCGAGAUGUGUACUGAGCCCAGGGCCUGUCCGACUCCACCUGGUGAGACCAUGGAGAGUCCAUGCCGUCCAGUGGACAACGGCUUGGUCAACCCUCCCAGGCUCUUUUUUUCCCUUCCUUCCUUCCUUCCUUUUUUCUGCCUGGGUAUCGAAGCCAGGGUGUUCUGUUACUGACCUACAUCCUCAGUCCUCUGUGUCUGAGGCGUUUUGCUGAGGUGCCAAGCCUGGCCUUAAGUUUGCAAUCUUCUUGUCAGGCUCUUUAAAUUUUUUUUUUUUUUUCGUGGUGCUGGGGCUUAAACCCAGGGCUUAGUACAUGCUAGGUAAGUACUCCUUAACACUGAGCAGCAUGCCCAACACUUUUUAAUUUUAAAAACUUGUGAAUUUUUUAUUUAAAAAAAAUUUGUAGUUGUAGAUGGACAGAAUGCCUUUAUUUUUUUUGUUUGUUUUUUUGUGAGGCUAAGGAUUGAACACAGUGCCUCACACAUGCACACACACUGCUGCUGAGCCACAACCCCAGCCCCUAUUUUUUUCUUUUUUACUUUGAGACAAAGUCCUGCUGAGUUGUCCAGGUUGGCCUUGAACUUGUUCUUCCUGACUCAGUCUCCUGAGUUGCUGGGAUUACAGGUGUGCACCACUAUACUUGGCUCAGGCCCAUAUUUUUAACCUACUUCCCUGAACUGCCAACAUUUUAGCUUUUUAAUUGGGUAAAAUUAUGUUAUUUGGGGGAAAAUCGUUUGUCCCCUAGAGAGCAGUGGACUUAGGCCUUCUCCUUCUCCCACAUGGAGGCCUGGUAAGGCCAGACCCUAGAGGAGUGUUCUGGGCCUGGGGACAGAGGUGGGUGGGAUGGCUGGUUCUGGCCAUGGUGCAGACUGAGCCAUUAUGUUCAUUUCUUGCAGCUGCUCAAAUGGAAGUUAAGAAGCCCUUUAUUCUCUCUGCCAUGAGGCUUCCCCUUCUGGACACCAACAAUAAGGUAAACUGGACAGGUCAGACUGGGCUCCACCUUGAGCAGCCACAGAAGAGUGCUCUGCCUCAGCAGGCACUGGGCCACCAGCAUGAGAAGGCACAUGGGUUUAGUGUGUGGCUAGCAACUGCCUUCAUUAUACUCUCUUUUUUUCUUUUUUGUUUUAUAUCUUUAUAUCUUUAUUUUUACGUGGUGCUGAGAAUUGAACCCAGUGCCUCACGCAUGCUAGGUAAGCACGCUACCACUGAGCCACAUCCCCAGCCCCUCAUUAUACUCUUUACACAGUUAACCAGGCCUAAUGCCAGGGACCAACUCACUGCCGGGGCCAACUGCAAGUCCAGGGCUCUUCAGUAGCACCCUCCGGUCCAGCACUCACUCAAGGGACUCAGAGAACUCAGGAAGCUGUUAUAUUUUUAGUUAGUCUGCUGCAGGGAGAAGAUGCAGGAUAAAAUCAGCCCGAGCCAGAAGCCCGUGGGACAGAGUGCAGGCGAGGUCCAGACCCAUAGACAGGGACCUCUUGUGGUCAGAAUCACAUUGUUAGACCAUGUGGUUUGGCCUGUGGCCUAAGCCAGUGGGCAUUCUUUUUUUUUUUAAUAUUUUGUUGUAGUUGGACACGAUACCUUUAUUUUGUUUGUUUAUUUUUAUGUGGUGCGGAGGAUCGAACCCAGGGCCUCACAGGUGCGAGCAAGCCCUCCACCACUGAGCCCAGCCCCAGCCCCAGUGGGCGUUCUUGUCAGCAGGACCUUCCAGUGGCUUAGGGUGAUCUCCAGGAGUCAAGACCCCUCUUUGGGCCGUGCAGGUUUCCUGUGCUCAGGGCGGUCAGGACCUGCUUACUCAGGGGCAGCAGGGACCUGAGCUCCUCUGGGGUCUGCUCCGACCUUGCUGCUGGCCCUGGCCUGCUCUUUGGGUUCUCCUCUCACUGUUGUCCCUGGAGCUUCUGGAUGGGUCCCGAGUUACCCCUGUGGCAGGGUCACGCUCCAUAGUGCACAGACCCUCGUGUUCCGAGGCGUCCCCUGAUGCCUCCCUUACAAGGCCCUGCAGCUGUCAUGGGGGCUCACAUGACAUCUGCAGUGCCAGGGGCAUCUGUGCCCACACCUGCCCCUACUGCAGGUCACCUCAGGCCCUCUGCUGCUCUCUAGGCAGUCAGCUGCCAGCCCAACCCACCUGAUCCUGUAGGCACGCGUGUCACUGGGGUAGCAUGAGCUAGGGGUGCUCUGAAGAGGCCUCGCUGGGAUGGUGAUGUCCAACCUCUGCAGAGACUUUCUCAAGAUGAGGGAGAAGCCUCCCAAGGGAGCAGUACGUGCAGAGGGCUUUGGGUGGGAGCAGAGGCCAAUGUCUCUGGGGACAGGGUGGCGUUGGGAUGGAGGCAGUGCUGGCUCUGGGGCCAGUGUAGCUUGUUUCAGCAUGUUGGACUGGCCACGCCUUCGAGCCACCAGGAGUGCUUAUGGAGCAGGGCUGGACAUGCCGCUGAGGACUCCCAGGAGUGUCUGGGUGAAGGCUCACAUCAGGGACCAUGGCCAGGGCAGUGGUGCCCCCCAGGAAACCAUGCACCAAGAGCAGCCGGCCCUGAAGCAGUGCAUCCCCAGGCCAGGCAGAUCUCAGGCAGAGAGAGACACCAGGAGGCUGAGUCUAGUCCUGGGCGGCCGUUGGCCAGUGUUCAGGGGGCUGAGGGCAGGGCGAUUUGGGGUGGGCCCUUCAGCAGGACUGCUUGCAUAGACUUGGGUGAGGCCGAUGGAAGUGGACGGAGAAGGGAAGGAGUGAGACAGGGUGACUGAUGAAGGGCUGUGGGAGUGGGGGCCGUGGGGAAGAAGGAAGAGAGGCCCCCGACAGAGCUGGGCUCGUCCACCACUGGAGGAGGAUGCUGCAGGGGCUAAUGGGGCUUCUGCAGCCCAGGGACCAAAUAGCACAGGUGCAGGUGAGGACACAGCUGCAGGCACUGAUAGAGGUGUAGGUGCAGGUGUGGCCACAGGUAGAGGUAUAAGCAUACGUACAGGUGCAGGUGUAGGUGUGGGUACUGGCACAGUUAGGAGCUGAGGCGCAGGUGUGGGUGUGGUUGCAAGGUGGGUGUAGGUGCAGGCAUGUGUGCCGUGCAGGUGUGGGCAGGGGGAGGAAUAAGGCCCCUGUCUGCCGGCUGGAUUGGCAUGACAGUCUCUGUCUGGCCCCUUCCUGACCUGUUGGUUCUGGGCAGGUGAAACGGGCUGUGGUGCAGGUGAUCAGCGCCAUGGCUCACCAUGGCUACCUGGAGCAGCCCGGAGGCGAGGUGAUGAUUGAGUACAUCGUGCAACAGUGUGCGCUGCCCCCUGAGCAGGAGGUAAGGGCCACGCCUCACCCACCAGCCUCACCCACCAGCUCUGGGCCCAGCAGCUGCUAGGCUCUUUGGCCUACAUUGCCCCAACCUCUGUUAGUGCUCGUCACCAGGAGCUGCUGUCCCAGCAGUAGGUGGCCAUGUGACCUGAGUCUGUGCACGGAGGUUCCCUGUUUCUGAGUCGGGGUCUCUGCGCCUUGAGUCCACUGGCAGCUCCCAAAACUCAGAAGAGGCAGAAAGCAGAGACGUGGUUCUCUUUGGGGCUUUUCUGUCUUAAAAGCUGGUAAAUAAGUCAGUUUCUUCUUGAAAAGUAGCAGGUGACUGGUAAAAGUAAAGGGCAGGUGGGGAGGCCCUGGGUCCCUCCAGAGCACUGCAGUGAUCUAGAAGCUGGGUGUGGCCUGGGAAGGUUUAGUAAAAAUUGGGUUUGUCCCUGAGGUCAGCUCUCACACUGGUAACAGCCACUGCCUGUGUUCAUCUUUUUUUUUUUUUUUUCGGGGGGGGGCGGGUACUGGGGAUGACAGGGCGUGUGCCAUGCCCCCGGCCCUCUUACUUUUCUUUAAGUCAGUCUCACUAAGGUGUAUUUGCAUACAGGAAAAUGCACCCUUUAAACUGCCACAUGUGCUUUUGAUGACAGUCACACAAGCACUGUGUCAAGACACAGGACAUCUGGCACCCCACGUUCCCUUGCCUCCUGGUAGCCAGCUGUCCCUCUGGUUUUGCUUUUCUAGAAUGCCUAGGUGGGCUUGACGGAGUGUAGCUCAAGUCAGCUCCUCCCCUGUAUCAGGCGUUUUUCUCCAAGUACUGGGGAUUGAACUCAGGGCACUGUGCUUGGUAACCAAGCACUCUGCCACUGAGCUACCCAGUCCUGCUGAGCUGGACUCUCAGGUCACCCUGCAGUCCCUGUCCACUGCUGAGUGCAUUCCAUCACAUGCAGUGCCACUGUGAGUCGUCCACUCACAUUGAAGUGUGGGCAGGCUCAGCAGUUAGGAACCUCCGCCGUGUGCCUCUGGACACAGUCUCCAUAUUUUUUUCUCAGUGCACUAGCUGUACACAGUGGGAUUUGUGGUUGUAGAUCGUUAGGUGUCACAGUGUCACAGGAUCAUUUGGCCAUGUCACUCCCCAGUAUUUCCCGGCCCCCUCUUCUCUCCCCUUGGUCCUUUCCCCUACCGAUGUCCCACCAGUUUUCAUGAGAUCCCCUCAACUUCCUGUCCCUUUUUUCUCUCUGUCUUCCACAUGUGCCAGAAAAUAUUAAUCUUGACCCUCAGAGUUCAGCUUAUUUGCUUAACAUAAUGGUCUCAAGUUGUAUCCAAUUUCCUACAAAGACACAAUUUCAUUCUUCUUUAUGGCUGACUUAAACUCCGUUGUAUACGUAUACCACAUUUUCUUUUUUUAAAAAUUCAUUCUAAUUUGUUAUACAUGACAGCAGAAUGUGUUUCAAUUCAUAGUACACAUAUAGAGCAUGAUCUUUUAUAUCACACCAUUCGUGUCUCCAUACAUGUACUUAGGGUGACCAUGUCCAUCUCAUUCCACCAUCUUUCCUACUUCCACUCCCCUCCCUUCCUCUCCCUCCCCUUUCCCAUCUGAAGUCCCUCCAUUCCUCCCAUGCUAUCCCCUCCAGCCCCAUUGUGAAUCAGCCUCCUCAUGUCACAGAACGCCUUCGGCACGGGGUUCAUCCCAGGGAUGCAAGGUGGGUCCGACGUACGGAAAUCAAGAGAUGUGAUUCAUCACAUCAACAGACUGAAGAUAAGAAUCCCACGCCCGUCCCGUCUCAGUAGAUGCAGAGAAAGUGCAGUGCACAUCUAUCUGCUGGCCGCAUGGGCAGAAUCCGUUUCAGAUAGACCUACCUUGUUUUACCCAACGGCCCUUGAUCACCAUUAGGCAGAAAAUGAAAUAACGUUUUUUUGAAGAAGUUUUUGUAAAGUAUUGAAUGAAACUUUGGUGAAUUGAUCUGCUCAGCAGUCCCUCUGUCCUCCUGGUGUUUGGUCAUGGUAGUCUCAAAGAAGACCCAAAAAGCUCCACCAGGAAAUUUUUAGAACUAAUAAAUGAAUUCAGCAAAGUAGCAGGAUCAGCACCCCAAAAUCAAAGGCAUUUCUGUAUAUCAGUGACAAAUCCUCUGAAAGGGAAACGAGGAAAACUACCCCACUAACAAUAGCCUUAAAAAAAAAAAAUUAAAUAGUUGGGAAUCAACUUAAUGAAAGACCUCUACAGUGAAAACUACAGAAGGAAAUUAAAGAAGACCUUAGAAGAUGGAAAGAUCUCCCUUGCUCUUGGAUAGGCAGAAUUAACAUUGUCAGAAUGACUAUACUACCAAAGGCACUAUACAGAUUCAGUACAAUUCCAAUCAAAAUCCCAAUGACAUUCCUCAUAGAAACAGAAAAAGAAAUCAUGAAAUUCAUCUGGAAAGAUAAGAGACCCAGAAUAGCUAAAGCAAUCCUUAGCAGCAAGAGUAAAGCAGGUGGCAUCACUCUACUAGACCUUAAACUAUACUACAGAGCCACAGUAACAAAAACAGCAUGGUAUUGGCACCAAAAUAGCCUUGUAGACCAAUGGUACAGAAUAGAGGACACAGAGGCUAACCCACACAACUACAAUUACCUUAUAUGAGACAAAGGUGCCAAGAGCAUGCACUGGAGAAAAGACGGCCUCUUCAACAAAGGGUGCUGGGAGAACUGGAGAUCCAUACGCAGCAAAAUGAAAUUGAACCCCUCACUCUCACCAUGCACAAAACUCAAAGCGGAUCAAGAACCUAGGAAUUAAACCAGAGACCCUGUGCCUAAUAGAAGAAAAAGUAGGCCCAAAUCUGUCAUGUUGGAUUAUGCCCCAACUUCCUUAAUAAGACUCCUGUAGUGCAAGAAUUAAAACCAAGAAUUAAUAAUGGGAUGGAUUCAAACUAAAAAGUUUCUUCUCAGCAAAAGAAACAAUUGGGGAGGGUGAACAGAGAGCCUACAGAAUGGGAGCAAAUUUUUACCACACGCACAUCAGAUAACAUCAAAAGAACAAAUGAUCCAAUCAAUCAAUGGGCCAAGGAACUGAACAGACACUUCUCAGAAGAGGAUAUACAACCAGCCAGCAAAUAUAUGAAAAAAUGUCCAACGUCUCUAGCAAUUAGAGAAAUGCAAAUUAAAGCUACUCUAAGAUUUCGUCUCACUCCAGUCAGAAUGGCAGCCAUUAAGAAUACAAACAGGGGCUGGGGCUCCGUGGUAGAGCGCUCACCUUGCACAUGCGAGGCUCUGGGUCUGAUCCUCAGCACCACAUAAAAAUAAAUAAAGUAUAUAAACAAAAGAAGACAAACAACAAUAAGAGUUGGCAAGGAUGUGGGGAAAAGUUAUGCUCAUACACUGCUGGUGGUACUGCAAACUGGUGCAGCCAAUGUGGAAAGCAGUAUGGAAAUUCCUUGGAAAAUUGGAGUGGAACUGCCAUUUGGCCCAGCUAUCCCUCUCCUCGGACUCUACCCAAAGGACUUAAAAUCAGCACACUACAGGGACACAGCCACAUCAGUGUUAAAGCAGCACAGUUCACAACAGCUAAACUGUGGAGCCAACCUAGAUGCCCUUCGGUAGAUGAAUGAUAAAGAAAAUGUGGUCUAUACACAAUGGAAUACUACUCAGCAUUAAAAGAGAAUAAAAUCAUGGCAUUUGCAGGUAAAUGGAUGGAGUCGGAGACUACACCAUAUUUUCUUUAUCAUUCAUCUGGUGGGCACCUAGGCUGGUUCCAGGGUUUGGCUGCUGUGAAUCAGGCUGCUGCAAACAUGGGCUGGCUCAGUGGGUUGAGUGCUUGCUUUGCAUGCACAAGGCCCUGGGUCUGAUCCCCAGUGCCACAAGAAAAAAAUAAGGUAAACAUGGCUUGCAUGUAUUGCUGUAGUAAGAUGAUUUUAAUGCUUCAGGGUAAAUAGUGAGGAGGGGUACCACUGGUCCUAUGGUGGUUUCAUGCCUAGUCUUUUUUUUUAUAUUUAGUUGUAGUUAUUAAUACCUUUAUUUAUUUAUUUAUUUUCAUGUGAUGCUGAGGAUUGAACCUAGGGCCUUGUGUGUAGGUGAGUGCUCCCUGCUGAGCCACGCCCAGCCCCUCAUGCCUAGUCUUUUGAGGAGCCUCCAUACUGAUCUCCUCGGUGGUUGUAACAAUUUAAAUCCCAGCAAGAGCGUAAAGUGUCCCCUUUGUCCCCUCUCCAGCACUUGUUGUUUGUAUUCUUGAUGACUGCCCUUCUGACUGGGGUGAGAGGAAGUCUCAGUGUAGUUUUGAUUUGCAUGUCCCUAUUUGCUAGAGAUGUUGAGCAUUUUUUCAUGUGUUUAUUGGCCUUUUGUAUUUCUUCUUUGGAGAAGUGUCUGUUUAAUUCAUUUUCCCACUCAUUGAUUGGGCUGUUUUUCUCUUGUGAGGUUUUGUGAGUUCUUUAUAUAUUCUAGAUAUUAACUCUCUGUCAGAAGAGGAGUCAGCCAAGGUUUCUCCUAUUCUGUAGAUUCUCUCUUCAUGCUCUAGUUGCCUUUGCUGUGCAAAAGCUUUUGAAUUUGAUGCCAUCCCAUAUAUUAAUCCUGGGUAUUCCUUCUAGCUUUAGGAGUCCUGUUGAGGAAGUCCAAGCCUGCAUCCACCUAUACAGGUGUGUUGAUCUUAUGUUCUCUUCUAGGAGUUGCAUGGUUUGGGGUCUGAUUCCUAGGUCUGUGAUCCAUUUUGAGUUGACUUCUGUGCAGGGUGAGCAAUAGGGAUCCAUUCUCAUUCUUCUACAUAUGUAUGACCAGUUUUAUCAGCAACAUUUGUUAAAAAGGUGCCUUUGCUCCAAUCUGUUUUAGGCACCUUUGUGAAGGGUCAGAUGAUGGUAUCUGUGUGGGUUUGUCUGUGUCUUCUAUUCUGUUGUUCUGUGUGUCUGUUUUAUGCCAGUACCAUGCUGUUUUUUUUACUAUAGCUCUUUAGUAUAAUUUGAAGUCAGAUAUUUGAUGCCUCUAGCCUGGCUCUUAUUGCUCAGAAUUGCUUUGGCUACUCUGAGUCUUUUAUUCUUCUAAAGGAAUUUUAGACUGUUUCCCCUCUUGUUCUGUGAAGAAAGUCAUUGGUGUUUUGACGGGAUUGCACUGAUCUGUAUGUGCUUUUGGAAAGGUGCCAUUUGGACAGUGUUAAUUCUGCACGUCUGUGGACACGGAGGGCUUCCCAUCUUCUUGUGUCUCCUUCCGUUUCUUUCUUCAGUGUAGUUCUGUAGAGGUCUUUUACUUCCUGGGUCAGAUUCCUACGUGUGUGUGUGUGUGUGUGUGUGUUUGUGGUUUUAGGUUUUUGUGAAUGGGAUAAUUUUCCUGAUUUCUUUCUCAGCAGAUUCAUUAUCUGUGUAGAGGAAAGCUAGUGAUCUUUGUAUGUUGAUUUUGUAACUUGUUGUUUGCUGAAUGUGUUCAUCGGCUUGAGCUUUCUGCAUGGUCUGAGUACAGGACCCACCAUCUGAAGCACCAGUGACGUGACCUCUUCCUUUUGUGUUUCUGUCCCUUUCCUUCCUCUCCUGCCUGGUGGCUAGAGUGUCUGUGCUGUAUUAAUGAGAGUGGUCAGAGUGCACACCCCUGUCUUGCUCCAGGUUUUAAAGAAGGGCUCUCGAGCAGGUUAUGACUCUCCAAGUUGCUCAGGUUGGCUCUGAGUUCUUGAUCGUCCUGCCUCAGCCUCCCAAGCUGCUGGGAUCAUAGGUGUGCACCAUAUUCUUGCAACCCUGGAAUAAAACCACCUUGUUCAUGGUGUGCAGUCUUCUUAAUGUGUUCAACACAGCUUGCUGAUACUAAGGUUUCUUUGCAUGUAUGGUCAUCAGAAAUAUUGGUCUGUAGUUUUACUCUUUCUUUCUCUCUCUCUCUCUCUCUCUCUCUCUUUCCUGGGGAUUGAACCCAAGAGCAAUUUACCAUAUCCCCCAGCUCUGUUUAUUUAUUUAAAUAUUUAUUUUUUAGUUGUAGUUGAACACGAUAUCUUUUUUAUUCAUUUAUUUAUUUAUUUCUGUGUGGUGCUGAGGAUCGAACUGGGCCGCCCACAUGCUGGGCGAAUGCUCUACUGCUGAGCCACAACCUCAGCCCUAUUUAUUUAUUUUUUUGAGACAGGUUCUCACUAAGUUAUUUGGGGCCUUACUGAAUUAUCAAAGCUGGCCUUAAACUUGGGAUCCUCUUGUUUCAGCCUCCCUAGCCACUGGGAUUACAGGCAUGACCCACUGCGCUCAGCUAAUCUGUAGUUUUCUUUCCUUGAUGUGUCCUUAUGUGGUUCUGGUAUGAGUGUGAUACUGGCUUCAUAGAAUGAAUUUGAAAGUGUUCCUUCCUUGGGCCGGGGAUGUGGCUCAAGCGGUAGCGCGCUCGCCUGGCAUGCAUGCGGCCCAGGUUCGAUCCUCAGCACCACAUACAAACAAAGAUGUUGUGUCCGCCGAAAACUAAAAAAUAAAUAUUAAAAUUCUAAAAAAAAAAAAAGUGUUCCUUCCUUUUGUAUUUCAUGGAAUAAUUUGGGGACCAUUAGGACUAAUUCUACUUUAAAGUUCUGGUAGAAUUCAGGUAAAAAUCCAUCUGGUCCUGGGUGCUUUGUUGUUGUUGAAAGGUUUUUUAUUGCGUCGUCUGUCUUAUUGUUAGUUAUUGUCCAUUCAGGUUUUCCAUGUCUCCUUGAUUUAAUUGUGGCAGGCUGUCUGUGUCUAUAAACACAUCCAUUUCUUCUCCUUUUCAAUGUAUGGGAGUAUAGAUUUUCAAGAUAGCCCCUAAUGAUCCUCUGGAUUUCUGAUGUCUGUGGUGGUUUUUCAUUACUUUUUUUUAUUAAUUUGGUUUUUUAUUAAUUUGUGUCUUCUCUAUUUUGCUUUGCUCAGUUUGACUAAGGGUUUAUCAAACUUACUUACCUUUUCAAAGAACCAGCUCUUUGUGUCCUGAUCCUUUGCUGGUUGCUCAUUCUGGAUCUUUCUGGGUUUCUUAUGGAGACUUUCAUGGCCGUGACUUCCCUCUCAGAACUGCUCGCUGGGGUCCCAGAGGCCACCAGGUGUGUUGGACGUUGGUCUCAUUCUCUUCACCCAGUCACCGUUCUGAAGUGUACCAUUCAUCUCCAGUGUUUAGAGGAUCUCUGUAGUUUUUCAUGAUAAUAUCUCAUUUUUUCCAUUAUGACCUGAUAAGAUGCAAAGAAUCAUAUUGGGUUCUUUUUGUUUGUUUGUUUUUGCAUUUGCCAAGAGUGGCUUUGUGGCCUAACUGUGGUCUGUUUUGUAAAAGGUUCCAUGAGCAUCUGAGGGAAAAGUGCAUUCAGCUCCAGUUGGGUCAGAUAUUCUUUGGACGUUUAUUAAGUCCAUUUUGUUUUUAUUUUUAAGGAGCCGUCCCUGAGUUGGUGUCUGGGUGACCUAGGGGUUGGUGAGAGGUGUGUGGAGAUCGUCCACGGCUGUUGUCCUGGGGCCUGAGUCUCCCAGUUGACUGGUGUCUGUUGAUGUCAGGAGGCGAUAUAAACGAUUAUGGUUGUUGAAUCCUCUCGUUGGAUUGUUCCUUUAGGUCUUUGUCUUUUCUGGUUGACUUUGGGCUGAAGUCUGCGUGGUCAGGUGUGAGAGUAGCUACUCCUGCUUGGUUGGGGCUCCAUUCCCAUGGGAGAUCAGUUUCCACCCAUUCACUUUCAGCCUGUGGCUGUCUUUGCCAACAACAUACAGUUGGUCUGUUUUUUUGAAUCCGUUCUGCCAGCCUAGGUCUUUUUCUUUUUUUGGCUCUGGAGAUUUAAUCCAGGGUUAGUUUACCACUGAAUUGCACCCUAGCCCUUUCUAUUUUUUAUUUUGCAAUAGGGUCUUACUAAGUCACUUAGGGUCUCACUAAGUUAUUGAGGCUGUUUUUAAAUUUGCAAUCCUCCUGCCUCAGCCUCCCGAGUGUGCCACCACGCCUGGCUAACCUACGUCUUUAACUGGAGAGUGAAGAUGAUUUACAUUCAGGCUUAUCACAGGGAGAUGUUAUUAAUUCCUGCCGUUGUGACUGGUCUCUGGUGUUUACCUGUCCUGUUUCCCAUUCGCUGAGCUGUGCUUCAGACGAGGUCUGUCCUGGGAGCACUGGAGUCUGAGGCCCAUUUCUUCUGUGUGGCGAGUCCUCCCGGGGGUGCCAGCUGAGUCACCAUGGGUUCUUUUAGUUUCUGCUAAUCUUCAGGGACUUGAAGGGUGACUUGGCUGGAGACACAAAUCUUGCUUGACAGCUUCUCUUUCAGGACUCAGACCUUUCUACGUCCUCCUGGGUUCCUGCGUUGGUGCUGAACGGUCAGAAGGGUCUCUGAUCGUCCUGCCUUUAGAUGUGACCUGCACUCUUCUCCUGAGGCUUUUGAAGUCCUAUCCUUGUUUUUGUUUUGUUUUAUUUUAAUCAUAAUGAGUUUGGAAAAGCUCUUUUUUGAUCUUGUCUAUUUGGAGUUUGAAUGUGUCCUGUAUCUGGAGGUCCAUCUCAGCCUCAAGGUUUGGAAUUUUUUCUGUUAUUAUUUCCCUGAAGAGAUGAUUCAUUCUACAACCCUCUUCAAUUCCAACCACUUUUUUUUUUUUUUUUGGUACCAGGGAUUGAACUCAGGGCACUCGACCCCUGACCCACAUCCCCCGCCCUAUUUUGUAUUUUAUUGAGAGACAGGGUGGGAGUUUGCACAGCACUUUGCCGUUGCUGAGGCUGGCUUUGAACUUGUGAUCUCCUGCCUCAGCCUCCCGAGCCACUGGGAUGACAGGUGUGGGCCACUGAGGCUGGCUUCGUCUUUUCUCUUGACUGGGUCUAGCUGAUCAGCAGCUUCUCCACCCUGUGAGGCUGCAGUGCUCCAGUAGAUCCUGAGCACCUCACAAGAAAAGGAGAGACAGAAAAGCAACAGGCGGGGCCCGGUGGCGCUCGCUCGGGAGGCUGAGGCAGGAGGAUGGCAAAUUCAAAGCCAGCCUCAGCAACUUAGCAAGGCCCUGUCUCAAAAUAGAAUGAUUUUUAAGAAAGGGCUAAGAAUGUGACUCUGUGGUUAAGUGUCCCUGGGUUCAAUUCCUGGUACCGGGGGCCGGAGCAGGGGGUGGGGGGAACAAAACAGAAACAACAGAAGCAGACAAGACACAGUGUUAUGAUAAACACCCAGUACCCACCGUCCUAUCUCAGUCCUACUGAACACAAAACAGGGACGUAGGGUCAGCAGCUUCCAACAAGAAAAACAAUCAAUAGCCCAGAACUGGCUACAACAUUUAAGUAAACAGUAGGUGUCAACUCUGCCAUCCCUGGUACUAAUGACUCUUGACAACAUGAGUGGUGUUGGGUGAGGAACUGUAGACACUAGUUCCAAACAGUGGUAAAAUAUAGUUCAUUAAGAGAAGGGAGAAUGUGUGGGGAAGGUAGAAGAAAGUUUGGGAUGUUUAAAAUGGGAACAAAGAGACUGCAAAAGAGAUGUGACAAGUGAUUCUGGCUGUGCCUGGUGGCCCACGCUGUCAUCCCAGUGGCUCGGGAGGCUGAGGCAGGAGAUCACACGUUCAAAGCCAGCCUCAGCAGCAGCAAAGUGCUACGCACACUCCGACCCUGUCUCUCAAUGAAGCACAGCAUCGGGUGGGGACAGGGGAUCUGCUACUGGAGGGAGAGGAAAGGAGACAAAGAGGAACAAACCCCAAACUCUGACCCCGGAAAGACAGGCAGAGAGCUCAGAGAUGCGGCCACGAGGAAGACGGAAGCCGUGAGUGUGCAUGUGCGGGACCAGCAAGCACACAGACAAGACCAGGCCCCGAACAAGAGGGGGCAGUGAAGGGUCGUCCCCACGGAAGGGCGCAACGUCGCUCCUGUGCCCACUGAGCACUCAGAAAGCUGCAGAGGGAGGGCGGGCUUGGUGCUGCUCACCCCUGCCCCCGGGAGGCCCAGGACGGGGCGCAGUGGCUCUCAGCCCCCCUCGUCAGCAGCUAGGGUAGGACGGGGUGGCCAGUGCCGCCAGCUGGACUGUGCCCAUGAGGACGAGGUGGACGCACUCCCAGGCGGGCAGCAGCGAUGCUUAUGAGGAGUCUCAGUGGCUGGGCGUGGGCUGUGGAGGCCGGCCGGGGUUGGGGUGGGAGAUCAGGUCAACACACCCCCAGGGCCUGGCAGCUGGGCGCCAGGUCUCAGGAGCCUCCCGAGAACUCUGCUCACAGGGCAGGUGGGGGUCACCCUCCGCCCGCUCUGCUGCCCUCAGUCACAGCUCCCAGGAUGAGUCCCCGUGUGCACUCACACCCACCUGUCCAGAUCCCCGCCCGCUUUGGCUGGUCACGCGAGCCACCAGAGUCCAGGGGAAAGCGAGUUGGGCUCCCCUCUGUGUCCCUUGGUGGACACCCCCCAGUCCCGUUCUUCUGGGCACACCCUGGGCCAUGCGCUGGGCACUUGCUGGGACAGGUUUGCUGGGGUCUCCAGCUCUACAGCAGCAAGCUGCAGUGUGGCCUCCUCAAGACGGCCCCCACCUCAGCUGCCCACGGCCAGGUGAGAAGCUGCACCUUCCAGACACCAGAUGGCUGUGCAGGCCCUGGAUCAGCUGAGCUCAGGCUGCCUUUCUGAUCCACAGGACCCUGUGCCACAUGUGUCCCCUGUGGUGCUGUGUCCUCCCUGUCCCCUGAGGUGAGCCAGCACCACUGUCCCUGCUGCCACUCCUUGGCUCCAGUGUGCUCUUUUCUUUCUUUUUAAUGCACCCAAAUUUCUGAGUCUCUAAAAGACUCUUGUCAGAUGCUGAAUGCCAUUGGAGUCCCUCCGUCACCACCUCACUGAGGACCUGUGUCCCAGCACUUGAACCCUGAGCCCUGGACUCUGCCAUCUGGACUCCCCCGAGCCCUGUCUUUGGAGCGUGUUGUGCAGCCCGUAACACCCGGGGAGGGGCGAGGGAGGGGAGAGGGGCCUGGGGGGAGAUGUACGUUGAGCUCCAUGGGAAACUCCGAGCUGUUUUCCAAAAAGGAGGUGUGUGACGUUCCCAGAGCUGGGCGGGAGUUCUGCUCUGUGUCUGCGAGUGCUCGGGGCUUUGGGUCAGGACAGGUCUAUGUUUUCAGUGCUGAGGAUUGAGCUGGGGCCUGAUGCAUGCUAGGCAGGAGCCACACCCCUGGCCCAGGCAGUAUUAAUUUUAUUUAUUUCUAGUACAGGGAAUCAAACCCCUCCUGCCUCAGCCCCAUGAUGCGUGCACGGCAGCGGCUCCGGGCAGCCUUUCUGCAGUCCCUGCUGGGGUGGUGCCUCACCCUGGGUUGACCUGUGCUGAGCGGUCUGCGUCUCCCGUGGGCUCCGCUACCUAAGGCUGUGCUGCUGCUCUGAUCAAGUCUGCUCAGACCUUGUGCUCCUCUUUGAAUUGGGUUCUUUUCUUACUGAGUUUUAAGAGAUGUUUGUAUAUUCUGGGUGCAAGCUCUUUCUCAGAUAUAUGACUUGUAAGUAUUUUCUUGCAAGUCUGUUGCAUGCUUGUCUUUUUAAUUCUUUGUUUUUUAAAUAUCUUCUUAGUUGUCAAUGGACUUUAUUUAUUUUUAUGUGGUGCUGAGAAUCAAACCCAGUGCCUCACACAUGCUAGGCAAGCGCUCUACCCCUGAGCCCCAGCCCCGCCCUUUAAUUCUUAAUAAUGCCUUUCAAAAGUAGAAGUCUAAUUUUUUUUUGUGGGGGAGGGUAAGCUGCUUAGGGCCUUGCUGAGUUGCUGAGGCUGGCUUUGAAGUUGUGAUCCUCCUGCCUCAGCCUCCUGAGCCACUGAGAUUACAGGCAUGUGUCACCGUGCCCAGCUACAAGUUUAAAUUUCUUAAAGACCAGUUUACCUGGUUUUUGUCUGUGGAUCAUACUCUUGGUGUCUUGUCUGGUAGAUCCUUGCUGAGCACAAGGUCACACAGAUCUGCCAUGUUCUUUCCUAGAAGUAUUAAGAGGUCCCGGCCCAGCUGUCCCAGCACCUCGAGUGGCGACAACUCUUUUCCCUGUGCACCUGGUGGCUGGUGCAGUCCAGCGGUGACAGUGCCUCCCAAGCCCUGAGCUGCCUUCUGGCUGCAAAGCCAGCGUGCGGCUCUUGGCUCUGGCCCUGCCCCGCCGGGCUCUGGCGCCACCCUCACUUUGUUUGCUGUGUGGACUUCAGAAUCGUCCUGUUGGUCUCUGGAACAGACGGUGGGAUUUUGAGUGGGACUGUCUGUAGAACAUUUGGGAGGGAGCCUCCAGCAUGAGGAGGUCAUGUCCCCAUGCUCAUUCGGAUCCUUGCAUGUCUUUCAUCAGUAUCUUAGAGUCGGCGAGACCCAGAGUCUGUGGGUCCUGGACUCCAUGGGUCUGGGCCUGAGCUCACCGUGUUCCUCACUUCAGGGUCUUCUUCCUUUUGACCUUUACUUCCUCCUCUUCCUUCCCUGUUCUCCUUUAUCCCUUCUUUUCUCUUUUCUCCUUCUUCUGUUUUUUGUUGGUUGGUCUGUUUUUGAGAUAGGUUCUCACAGAGCUGCCCAGCCUGGCCUGGGACUUGGGAUCCUCCUGCCUCGGCCUCCUGAGUUGGAUUUCGGAUGGCAUGGAGUUAGAAAUGGGCAGACGGUUGGUUUUAGGUGUUGACUUUUUAUCCUGUGGCUUUGCAUUUUUGUCAGUUCUUUGCAGUUUUCCACAUGGAACAUCAUGACUUCUUGAAAUCAUGGUUUCCCGCUUCCUUCCCCUCCUGAUGUCUCUAUUCCUCCUGCCUCGUCAUCAGUUAGGACCUGCAGUCCAGUGCUGGCACCGUGGUGGGAGCCGAGCUCUCCCCACAGGGACGCAGCCCUGGCCUUCCCUGUGAGGCCUUCCCGCUGCCCAGGCCCCUGUGGCUAGUUGGUCGAGCUCCCUCCUCCCCUGGCUCCUGGAAGAGUCUGUGCAGCCUCCCUUCUUCCCAGUUGCUGUUAAGACUGGGCCCAGCAGAUUGAACCACUCGGGGCCCUUGCCCCAGGAGCCACGUUCCCAGCCCUGUUUUGGAUUGGAUUUAGAGACGGGGUCUCACUGAAUUAUUUAGCACCACGCUGAAUUGCUGAGGCUGGCUUUGAACUCACGAUCCUCCUGCCUCUGUCUCACCUCCUGAGCCGCUGGGAUUACAGGGGUGCACCACCACACCUGGCUGUAGGACGUUUUUAACUAUGAAGUCACCUUCUUUUUGGGGGGGUCCCAGGGAUUGAACCUGGGGUGCUUAACCACUGAGCUCCAUUCCCAGCCCUUUUUACAUUUUAUCUUGAGACGUGGUCUCAGUAGGUUGCUUAGGGCCUUGCUAAGUUGCCCAGGCUGGCUUCAAACCUGCCCUCCCUCCUGCCUUGGCCUCCUGAGGCUUGGGGUUACGGGCAUGUGUCCCUGCACCUGGUGAAGUUACCUUCUUUAGUCACCACAGCACCCUUUGGGUUUUCUCUGUUUCUGGAGUGAGCUCGAUUCCCUGGAAGGACUCGGAGAACUCGGCUGUGACGCCGUCAGGGCUGCGGCCCACGGGCACACCUCCUGUGCUCUCCUAGCCCAGCAGACACUGCAGUGCCUCUGCGGGGCCUAGACUCGGAGGCUGAGGGACAGGCUCCCCCAGCUGCGGCCCCAGGACUCCAGGCCCCGAGGGAAGGCGGGUGUCCGUGGACGUCAUGUAAAACGGCAUGGCGGUUUGGGAUACAUAAAAGAAUUGAGAGCAGCUUCUCAGAGAUUCUCAUAUACACCUAUGGUCAUGGCAGCACUGUUCACAGUGGCCGCAGGUGGAAGCAACCCAGUGUCCAUGGAAGAGUGAGUGGACAGACACAACAGGCCUGUCCGUACAGUGGAGUACCAUUUGUCCUUAAAAAGGGAGGAAACCCUUGCCCCCCUGCACCAUGGGUGGCCUAGAGGGCAUCUGUUGACAAGGGCACCUGCUGUGAGCCCACUCCUCUGAGGUCCCUAGGAGCCAUAUCCACGGGGACAGGCAGGGCUGGGAACAGGGAGGGUUUAGUGUCCAGUGGGCCCAGAGCGGCAGUCUGGGUGACGAGGCGGUGUGGAGAGGUGGCAGGGGAAGGGGUGACCACUGAGUGUGCCUGUUGGGCCUGGGCACUGGCCCUGUAACACCUGGCACCCUGCUCAGCCCUGGCCCUCUCCACACAGGCUCUUGUCACCUCGUCUCUCUAGGGAAGGUCUCCGCUUAAUCCCUUUAAACAGUUCUUGUGUCCCAUUUUUACUUGCUGUUGUAUGGCUGUUCUGCAUCUGCCUGACCGUUCAUCCCUCUGUUGGUCUUUUAGCCUUUUUCAUUUGAUAUGUCCCCGUCCUUCUUCCAACCAGUAGUUCCCCUCCACAUCGUCGCCUUCCUGAGUUGGGUCCUCUGUGUCCACCACGAGGAUCUUUCACACAGUAUUUCUGGGAUUCUUUCUGGUUCUGGGUUCAUGCUGCUAAUGGUGUCCCUUCCUUGGUGAGUCUCAGCUGAGACGUGUCCCUGGACUCGGCCUGAUACUGUGUUCGUAGUGUUCGUUUCUGACGGUUUAGUUUCUUUUUAACCCACGUGUUUUCUUGGUGAUCUUUAAAAGCCACCAGGUGGGUGUCAUGGCUACUGUGACUUGUGUGACUGCCUGUCAGAGUGAGUCUGGCCUGCUUGAUUUCUGCUCCUCAAGUUUGUUGAAUCAGAGUUGCUCACAGGGUUUCCUAGGAAGUUCUGUGUUUUUGUAGCGUGAUCUAGAAGCCUUGCUCGGGGCCUUCACAUCACUGUUUCUCCACGUGGCCUUUGGUUCCUAAGACGAGGGUAGCAGGAGUCUCCCGGGUCUGGCGCCGAUUUGCCCUUUCUCUGUUGUUCACGUUUUGCGUUUGGAGUUUCAAAGUGAGUGGACGGCUCAGAGCACCUGGGAGCACAGAGUCGUCGUCUUGUGGGAGCCUCUCCGUAAGACAGAGGACCGCAGCACCCAGCCGCCUGAGCUGCCUGGCCCUCGCGCGGUGGCCUGGGGGACUUCAGCCCAGCGCCUCUUCCUGACUGUGGCAGCUGAGGCAGGCGUCCCCAGGUGUAGGAGGCCAGCCAGGUGGCCCUUGUGUGACUGCCUGAGGCAGCGCCCUCGACCUGGCUCACGCACACUCUGGCCUUUCACCCAACCCAGCCUGAGAAGCCAGGCCCUGAUGGCGAAGACCUGGCAGCCGCUGACAGCGUGCGGGCCGUCAGUGUCCGCACCCUCUACCUGGUCAGCACCACGGUGGACAGGAUGAGUGACGUGAGUGGACGACCUCAGCAGGCCCUGCCUGGGCUGGCCCUCACCUGGCUCUCCCGGGGGCCCCGCCCCUCACCCUGCCCACCCCAGUCCUGGGUGACAGGUGAGCCGGGCGUUGCUCAGUGCUGCCUCCCUAGGGCAGUGCUCAGAGUCCCCUGACCUACAGCAGGACAAGUGAAGGGCACGUCCACACCUGAACUCUGCUCAGAGGGAGCCCUGGGCAGCCCCAGGGAGCGGCCCUGUUGGUGUGCUGGCUGCCCUGGCACUGACCGGGGCCCUCCGGGGCCUCUGCCCCCAGGUCCUCUGGCCCUACCUGAUGGAGUUCCUCGUCCCCGCGCACUUCACCGAGGCCCUGACCCCGCUCUGUCGGAGCCUGGUGCAUCUGGCCCUCAAGAGGCAGGAGGCGGGGGCAGAUGCCUUCCUGGUUCAGUUGGAGGCCCACGGUGCGCACUCCCCAGGCCCACGCUCACUUGACCCCGCCCUGUGCCUGUCCCUCUGAGUGACUCUCUCCAUGUCUCUUGUCCAGCCAACCUCCCGUCUCCCUACGCUGUGACCACCAGACUGCUGGUAAGCGCCGCUCUCCCAGCACACCAGCGGGCGCCCCCCACCCACCCCCAGCCCGCUGCUGGCUUGGCCCCAGCGCCUGCCUCCUGUGUCCCUGAAUCUCUGUCCCUGUCCACAUGGCUGCCAGGGCUGCCUUCUUGGUGGGGAGCCACCCCCCCUGUGGCCACAGGCUUUCUUCCCCGGGUUGGGCAGCCGGCACCUGUGUAGAUCCCUGUGGCCCUGGCGUGGUCCAGCUGAGCACACAUCUGCAGGGGCAGGUGUUACGAGGACGUCAGCUCCCUGCUCAGAACGCUCCCACCCCGCGCCCCCCAGGUCGUGUCUUCCAACCCCUACCUGGGGGACGGGCGUGGAGCCGCCUCGCUGCGCCUCCUGGGGGUCAUGCGCCAGAGCAUCCACCCUUUGCUGGCUCAGCCGUGGGAGACGGCCGUUCCUCUGCUGCUGGAGCACCUGGAGGGUGAGACCGGCCUCGCCUUGGCCAGGGGUGUGCGGGUUUGUGAGUCUGAAUGGACCCUCUUGGCUGGGGUCCAAGGCAGGGUCAGUAGAGGCUGCAGCCGGGGCACAGGGUGCCCGGGCUGCCAGGGCUGCAGCCUGGGAGGUGCGGGUACCCGCUGAGGUAGGCCUGCUCGGCAGCCCGGGCUGACGGGGUGCCCGGUGCUUUCAGCGCACACUGAGGAGACACUGUCCCUGCAGGAGUGGGAGGAAAAGCUGCUGACGGUGAGAGGAGGAGCCGACGGAGAGUGGCCUCUCUGUCCUGGGCAGGGCGGGCUUGGGGGACAGGCCUCGGGCUGUGCCCUCCUGGGGCCACACUGUCUGUGCACUUGGUGGUGUGGCUGGGUGAGGGGCACAGGAAUGGGGCGUCUUGGGUGAGGAUGGCAGUUGGCCUCCGCCCCAGCAGCCCAGGACACAGGGAGGGCCUUCCCUCCCACCCGCGCCUGCUGCAGGGCCGCUGCCUGCCCCCCCAGCCAGCCCCUCAUGGCUCCCUCGUUGGCAGUUCCUGUGGGACACCCUGGCCGUCGUCUCUGACAACACAUGGACCUGCCAGCUGAGCCUGGAGAUGCGCAAGCGGCUGCCAAGUUACAACAGGGUGCCCCAGGAGAAGGUGCUGG
rnacentral:lncRNA from 1 species